rnacentral:lncRNA from 1 species
CCAUAAAACCUCCCUAAUCUAUUUAAUUUUUAUAUAAAAAUUAUAUAACCAAAUGUUGUAGCUAAUGACUCCUAAAGAUCUAAUCCAAAAACAAUUUCAUUGUUUAUAAGUAAAGAUGUUUUUAUCUAACUAAUCCUUGUUACAUUUACUUAUUUAUUCAAAUAAAUGUCUAUACCUGAUCUAUAUCUGAUCUAUUCUAAAAAAAACAUGUACAUGAUUUAGAAGUAAAACUCAAAGGUUUGUUUUAACAAAAAGUGAUUGCUGUGGAGAUAUAUAUCUAUAUAUAUAUAUAUAUAUAUAUUCUCAAAAAUGAUUCUCCAACUAUUUCUCAUGAUUUCACAAAAAUAUAAUUUCACAUAUUAAUAUGUCAUCUGUUGUCUAUAACCAUCUCAUUUCCACCCUGAUAUGAAAUACAAACUAAACCAACUGACUGCUUCAGACCUCGCAUAUCAGAGCAAGUGUUGGACACAACAACCUUAACAUACAUAACUGAAGGUUUUCCUAAGAUAGUGUACAUGCACGCUUCAACAAGAUAUACAUUUUCGAACACACCCACCGAUGGAGAAUGAUGGCAACCUGUGCGCCUACCGCCUCCUUGUCGAUCCCGUUUGCAAUGUGUGCCUUAAUAGAUCUAUGGAAAGUCACGGUGGUGUUCACAUAAACAACGUGGUUGGCUAAAAGGGACUCUACUCAGACCCAAGUGCAACUGCCUUCUGUCUAUCAAGGUCCUCCACAAAUCCUGCCCCCCCACCACGCGUGAAUUCUAUAAAUGUCACUCAUGCAGAGGUAUCUUUUCAUCUGCCAACUUUCUAGUCUCCAUGCUCUCCAACUCUUGCACUUCUCUUCGACAUGCCAUGCUUUCACAUGCUAACCCAAUCCAUUCCUGCAUAUAGACUAUAAAGCUCCGUUUCAACUAUACUUCGUGGGAACGGGUGCUGUCUGCCGUUUGUACUCUUCCAUCCGAGGUGUCUUCACUAGAAGCCUCGGGACUUUCACUGCUAAGACGCGCUUGAUAAACUCAUAUGAAGCGAAAAAAAGUGCCCCCUGGGUGAUGUAUAUCAAUAUCCGCGGUACUAGUCCCCUGCAAGUGUGUAAAACCUUUGCUCUAAGUUCCAUUUCAAUGCCCCAACACUCUUGGCCAAUUGCACCGAUGCCUGCUGAUGUCCAGCUUCUCAGAGGUUUGCAAUUAAACCCGUUAUAACAUGCACAUCGAGGACGCACUUCCGAGACAAAUGUGCAUAUUUCAGAAAAAUCGCAAGCAUGUAAAAAAAAACAAGUCGUUGACGCCAAAAUAAAGGUCCAACCUAUCUCAAGUCUCAAAAACCUAGAGUUGCAACAAAAUCGCAUACAACUCACCGGUAUAAUCCAGCGACACCCUCGGUAGUGACAAUGCUCUGGAAAACGUGAAUAACCCCAGUGUACUGCUGAGCUGUCCCAGGUAUCUGUCCACCCAAAAUCAGAUUAGUCAAGCCGAUUACAUCCUAUUCGUCACAUCCUACAGACUCACCACCGACUCUCUCAUGUGCUCGACAAAGAACAAAUGCACACAGAAUCCCUUUUCAUGGAACACCCACGAAUCUCAAUACGCACAAUACAAACAGUACAAGUCAUUCCAGAACCAGCUCAAAACCUGCGUUUGCAGCCGAGUCUUGACAACAUCGAAAGGAGUACUGAAUAAAGCAGCAGUCGAGCCAGCAGCACCGCCGAUAACCAGCUGCACAAAAACCAGCGUGUCAGUAUAAAACAUACACGUCCUCAUCAUGUGCAAACCAAGGAGCGAAUAUGCCAGGAAUUACACAUCCACAAACCCAAGUUACAGAUCAUCUUCUUCCUCUCAUUCCACACUGUAACACCACAUCCUCAUUUCACACGAGUCAGCACCCCACCAGGACUCCAUACUUUGCCUUGUCAGCCCAGAAGUGACACAUAACAAUGUCGUGUAACCGGGCAUUAAGUCAGCAGCUCAACAACAAAAACAACACCUGACGAAACAUACCGCUUGUGGUGUGCUCAAAGGGGUGUCACGAGGCUGGCCACGUUGAAUGCAGCGCUUCAGCCCCUCAUAAGUGUAGAACUGUGCAAUCACCACAACACAUCCCAUUAUUUUUCAGAAUCUCCACACAUCACCAAUCCAAAAGUCGUGACUACCAUGCAAAUGGACCGCCAGAGGCAAUCCCCACAUUCAACACCAGAAAGCCACCCACAUCGCAUUCGAUACAAAGACAGAUCCUCCGCCAAACAUUACUCGCAUCGACCCAAUCGCGUCCAACGGCUUUGCCCGACCCUGUCUCAUUUUUGCAAAACCUAUAUACCUACCUCGACACUUGGAAGAUGCAUACCUUCACCACGGAUUGCGGAACAUUGCGACAAAGAACUGCUCCCCAACCCUUGUACAGCGUCGGCAGUCCUUCUUCUUUCAGUAUCGAAGUGAACGCUUCCCUGAGUUAUUCCACAACAACUGCUCAACACCAAUAACUCGGAAUCUUCACAUUUCAGGCAAAUGCGGACCCGAGGAUGCUGGAGAAGCCUUGAGGACACUCCUCACGUGACAGAAGAUCUCAACCACAUUUAAUGUAAACUAUGUGCAAAAACGACAUGGCCAAGCCCACCAGCCCGAGCAUUUCAAAUUUGAAACAUCCGGAUAUUGAACCGUACCAGCUAUUUUCAUACAAUCCGUGCACUUGCAUCCGCUGUUUCACACAGUCACUCGGUGUGUACACGAAGGAGGUGGCUACACUUGCACAUCCCCCAGCAACGCAAUGCGCCAGUGCGGACAUAUCCUGUUUGCAUUCAGUUGACAUCAAGGCGCACAGCCAUCAAUGGCGCCCCCCUCCUUUACACAACACAUUCCAUCGAAAUCCUCCCACACCUCACCCCAGACACACAUGACACCACACCGCAAGAUCGGAAGCUUCAGAACACACUUCAUGUGUUCCAAUAUCAGUAAAGCCGUACCUCUGGAAUGUGGCGGAGCAGACCAGCUUUGACGGUUUCAUAAGUGAGCGUGUAGAUAGCUGAGAUUGGAGCUGACACGGUUAAGUUGCUUCCCAGGCCCCGGUACAAACCUCUCAAACCUGCAGGCAAGACGUCCUCACUCAAGCAAGAUCUACUUAGAACUCUGAAACUCCACAACGAUAAACUUGACCGCAUUGGAUAAAUGUAAAGGCAAGGGCUAUGAAACAGUCACACUUAAAUGCAUACCUCUUUCAGAGAUAACCGCAGACAUAAUGGGAAGGAGGUUGCGGUUGCCACCGGCCCGCGCUUGCACAAGCGUCUUCAAAGUGUCAACGGGAUGCAAGCAAAGGCUAACAACCCCACCUGCCAAUGCUCCAGCGCCUGCAUUCUGCCCCAUCCGAGGGUUCCGUUUCGUCGCACCAUGGUUCGCCAUCAUAGCAUUUGUUGCCGUUGGGACAAGCCCGUUCUCCACUGCUGCCACUGCAGGUUGAACUGCAAAAGGCCACCAGUCGUGAUGCUUAAGUGCAGUGACGCUAUUCUGGCUGGAUUUGACAGCAGCGACAGCUUCACUCACAAAACUGAAGGCUACACAAUUUUUCAGCGAUUUGAUAGUGAGGUUGGAUACUUGGGUCACUCUGUCUAUCAUUUGAGGCAAGAUUUCAGCCGUAUCGUGGAGAAUGGAAGUCUCCAAACACUGCCGAUCUUUGCAUCGCUUUUUGAUCUCAGUAUUAAAGUUGAUAGGAGCCUUCCCAGCAUCUCUACUACCAGGAACAGAGUCGAUGGACCACAUUGAAGGUCCAAUCCCAGUGGUUCCUUUGAAACCCCGAGCGUCUUCUUCUGUCACGUUUUCCUCUACAACUCCACCAGUGCUACCACUGAAACUGUCUGCAAAUUCUUUACUUUUGAAUGCGGCUCGACUUUCCAAAGGAUUGGCACCUCCAAACUUCUGCACGUGGGACCAUAUCUUGGUUGGAAUCUUCGGUGAGCCGGAAUCUUCUAUCACUUCAAAGUAUGCAUCAGGAGCGCAUUUAGAGAUACUUCCAUUAGGGCCAUUCAGCAUGACAGACGCUGCCAACGGGAAGCCCCAUUGGUACCGAACCUCUGGGCAGUAGAAAGCCUCAUAGUAGCGCUGAUCGAGGUCUUCCUCAGAAACGAAAGAGUCACAAACCACGCACUCUGAACAUACAUAACCACAGAAAUCAUGGUUGCGAAUAAAUUUACAGCACCCCUCGCCCUCACAUUGACAUGAAUUUGAGGCUGAGUGAAUUCCUGCCAGACGCAUGGAGACGCCGCCAUACCUACAAGCCCCAGCUCCUCCGAGAGGUUUGGCAAGGUCUGGAAGAGCAUCUAGAGUGGUACUCCUGUUGAAUUCGAAAGAGGAACCCGGACCAUUCCUGAAGUCCUUCUGGGGCUUCUUCAAUGAGAGGAGCGACUUCAUCGCUUGGGUCAAGCCGAAUGCCUUGAGCUGCACAGGAAGAGAGUCUGCUCUUUCAGGCGACAGUAUCAAAGCUGUCAGACCUGAAGGGAGCCAAUCCAGAGGCUGCCCUGGUCCCCCGUUUGUGACGUCCAUCGCAAAUUGUGAAAGCGGCACAACUCUCUGCUGGAUCACAUUAUGGAAGCUCAACUGCCAACCUCAAAAUAAGCCGAAGUAAACUAAAGCGCCAGACGAAAACAUCAGAACACUCUAUUCCAGCUCAUGACAUGGAGCAUGGCGUUGCAACAAUGCCAACGACACUCACCCUCGUCAAGGGUACUUCACACAGAUGCUUUCUCCGAACAUACCCACGUUUAACCUUCAUCUUUACAAACCAGGAAAGCUCGCCAACCUUUCAUAUCGGGUGCACAAUUAGAAUGAAACCUCUGGCUCACAAGGCAACUCACCACUGCCCUACUUCCAGAACUCAAUUACGGCAACCCACCGAGACCUUCGGUAGAUGCAAAACCCUAGAGAAUCGAAAUGAUGGCUCUUUCUAGAGUCCACAAUGCUUCAGAAACCAAGCGGACAUCUCAUGUCCAAUGAAGCUAAGGCAUCGCCGGGGAUGGAAACGAGAUUCUCCUUCAUCCUCAAUUUCGAAAAAAACAACUCAGAAUCCAUCUGAGUUUGCACGGUUCGACAUUGAUCGAGUCUCCACACAUGAGAGUCUUUCUCAAACUGCUUACCAGCGAAACUAUGCCGCCAAUCUGAUUUCAAAAUACAACAACAGAUCAACUGUACAGCUCUGCUCCUUUCGACUCGUCAUCACGAUGCGGCGAGGGUUUUGAGAUAAUCAAUUAUCUCAGCAAUUUUGGAAAAUCGUAUUUCUUAAUUGAAAAAGAAGAGACAGUCCCUUGCGGAUGAAACUCGUACACUCUUGCCGAGACCCGCGGAGUUGGGUCACACUCGGAAGAGAGGCUAUCUCGUAGCGACCCUCGUCACCACGCGUCUCAAACCUCCCAACUCAAUCGACUAGCUCGAGAUAUCCCAGCCGUCAAUUGACGUAGUGACGAGGGUCCACGUUUAUGCGUCCGCCACCCUGCAAAUUCAGUCGCGGUGCUUGCACUGGAACAUCUCGCUCCAGACUCAUUCCAAUUCUCGUAGCUCUGUUUUUUCCUACCACCAUCCCCUCUUCCAUAGGGAAGCUAUUUAAGUUGGAUAGGCCCCUAAGAACAUUGUCCUUGCGCUUGUUUGCAAGUUUCAAGAGCUCUCAAAGAGGUGGGUUGCGCCGCUGUGCAGUAUUCUUGUGUUGUAGAGGUUUAAGCAAUUCGUUCGGCUUCCGCCGCUGUGUGAUCUUGUAGAACUCUCUCUUUAAGGUUUUCGUUCCUACUACUGCCCCCGUCUCAUCUUUCACCAUCUUUUGUGCCGAGACUUGUGAUUUGUAUGGGUUUUUUUUUUUUUUUAACAACACGAGUGCGUCACCGUGGUGGUGAUCACGCAUUGUGUGAUGUGUUCUCUAGUUCUUAGCUAGAUUUUCUCCAUCUUCUUCUUUUUGUUUACUCUCUCUAAGGUCGGUUAUGAUCCUUCUCGCUCUGCCUUGUCGAAUGCUGGUAUAGGGUAUCCAGGUAUUCUACAUUUUUCGCGGUGGUGAUUGUUACGGUGGUCUUAAAUAAGCAUUUGUGUUGGCUUCUGAAUGAUAUUGGUCUGAUUCUGCAUUUCAGGAUAAUUUCUGAAUUAUCCUACAUUUCUUUCGACUGUGAGCAUUUGUUACAAAUUCUUGCUCGAAAAUUUCUCAAAAUGUAUCUGCCCGAUGGUAGGUGGAGUCUUCUGCUACAGAGUUCAUUUGCUCUGCGCAUGACCUGCAUUAAAUCUCUGAAUCUCCACAGUCCUCUUGGAAAGUUGGUCUAAUUUUCCUCAGCUAAACGUUUGUAUUUAGAACCUACAUAUUCUCAUUUUAGUUCUUUUCAUUGCAAUUCGCCGUCUCUGUUGGCGCUGGUAGAGGCUCUCUGCCCUGAUCUCUUGUCCCCUUCCAUGUCGCUUGUCUGCAAGCUUUCUCUCGAGUUGAGAUCAAUUUUAACUUCUCAUGUACUUGAAUGAUGUUACAGCUAAUUGGAAUCGCCUCCUCUGCUAUGGCUAUGGCGGCAUUGGCACCAGCUCAAGCCACCAGCCCCAUCGCUUCAUGUCAAGCUGUACUCAAACCCUCGGCAUUGAAGGAUGCGAGGCACUCAAAGAUUAAUGCUUUGUAUUCUUCUCUGAACGGGACUGCGUGCGUGUUUACAUGCGACUCGCCUCUUAGGAAGGGAGCUUCAGUUUCUCAUGGCCAUGUGCGCUGCACCCUUGCGGAGGAUGUGCAUACCAGGGAUCGAGAUGAUGUCCGAACCUACAAAGGCUAUGAACGUCCUGACUCCUUUGGGAGAUAUGGUGUCUAUGGAGGGAAAUACGUCCCUGAGACCCUUAUGGCUGCUCUUAGUAAUCUGGAGGUAGCAUAUCGUGCAACAAUCAAGGAUCCCGAAUUCCAGGUGAUAAAUGUUACCUCACUCCCGAGCGGAUUUGCGGAGUGCUUUUCUAAAGCGGAAUUGUAAUCCUGAGUAAAUUGCAUGGAUGCUGAGGGCCGAGCUAAUAUGAUUGUCUUAGCGUUUUACAGAAGGAGCUUAAUGGCGUGCUUAAGGACUACGUGGGCAGGGAAACCCCUCUGUACUUUGCUGAACGCCUAACUGAGCACUAUAAGCGUGACGGGAAAGGUCCCUUGAUUUAUCUUAAGCGGGAGGACCUUAACCACACUGGCGCUCACAAGAUCAACAACGCCAUUGCCCAAGCUUUGUUGGCGAAGCGGAUUGGAAAGAAGCGCAUUAUUGCUGAGACAGGGGCAGGUCAGCACGGUGUUGCCACAGCUACAGUAUGUGCUCGCUUUGGACUCGAGUGCAUUGUAUACAUGGGUGCCCAGGAUAUGGAAAGACAAGCUUUGAAUGUAUUCCGAAUGCGUCUUCUUGGAGCUGAGGUAUGGAAUUGCAUGACCCUGCAAGUGAGCUCGAAUGUGAAUACUUAAGAAGCAAGUAGAAUUUAGUAAGUGAGAAAGACAUUGGCACAGAAUGCAACUGGGGUGCUUUAGAAUGUGGGUCCUGAUGGUUAGAUGGAGCGGUUAUUUAGUGCAUGCAGUUUACCUAAACCCUAAUCUCAUGAUGGUUCUUCCUUUUUGAUGCAGGUUCGUCCUGUAAAUUCUGGCACUGCCACCUUGAAAGAUGCAACCUCAGAGGCUAUUCGUGACUGGGUUACGAAUGUGGAAACGACUCAUUAUAUUCUUGGCUCAGUUGCUGGGCCGCACCCGUACCCUAUGAUCGUGAGAGACUUUCAUGCAAUGAUCGGAACUGAGGUUCGUCGCCAGGCAAUGGAAAAGUGGGGUGGAAAGCCGGAUAUUCUUGUCGCUUGUGUUGGGGGAGGCUCAAAUGCAAUGGGGUUAUUCCACGAAUUUAUCGAAGAUGAAGAAACUCGUCUCAUUGGUGUUGAAGCAGCUGGCUUUGGUACUAAUACAGACAAGCACGCUGCCACCUUGACCAUGGGAGAAAUUGGUAUCUUACAUGGUGCAAUGAGCUAUUUGCUCCAGGAUGCUGAUGGCCAGAUUAUUGAACCACAUUCAAUUAGUGCGGGGUAAUCAUCUUCGAAGAGACCUAAGGAUUGUGUUCUCAUUUGAAUCCGAGAUUUGUUACCAGCGUGUUUUUUUUCACUCGGCUGCUUGGCCAACUGCUUGUUCAAACGAGCUUUUUCAUUCAUAACGCAACAAAUGUUCUAGAACAUGGUACUGAUGGGGAGCCUGUGGUGCGCAGAUUGGAUUACCCAGGUGUUGGUCCAGAGCACAGUUUCCUGAAGGAUGUUGGUCGAGCAGAGUACUUCAGCGUGACUGAUGAUGAAGCCCUGGAAGGUAAGAAGAACACUGCAGUAGAAUUUCACUUCAAAUUCGUCAUCUCGUUGUUUUGAGCUUUCUCAUGCUUCUAGGUAAGGUCAAUUGCAGCAGUUCCUGAUUACAUAUCAUUAGUCUCAAAAGUUUAGAGGUUCCGCGGCAUUCAUCAUGGAGACACUGUAUGGGUUAUAAACACUUCCAAGUUUGUGUUCUCUCAUCAGCUACCUUGCUAACGGUACUGUCGCUCUUUUUUGUUGCCAAUGCAGCAUUCCAGAGGUUGUCCAAGCUGGAGGGUAUCAUUCCGGCACUGGAGACAUCUCAUGCCCUAGCUUUCUUGGAAAAACUUUGCCCUACACUUGAAGACGGUACCCGAGUGGUCCUCAAUUGCAGUGGUCGUGGUGACAAGGAUGUCAACAGCGUCAUUGGUUACUUGAAAGGAAAGUACUGAAUCUCAGUAUGAAGAUUGUGGGGAAUGUCUCACUUCAAUUAUUGUCAUUCCACGUUUUUUUGCAAUGAGUUUUUCCAGCCUCUUUAAGAAUUGGUAAGGCAGAGAAGAUGUCUCGUCUUUGCGGGCCAUUGUUGUAAUCGAGAGCAGUGCAUUAUCUGCGCUGAACAGAUAUCAGUCUGGAGGUAUUUAGGUUUAAUACACAGAACAUGGAGUUCUUUUAUAUCCUUUUUCUGCCUUAAGGAGCAUUCACUUGAAGAAUGUUGUUGCUGCAGUGGUUCACAAUGCCUUACAAAGAUAUUGAAGCUGCCCCCCUUAUCCACGUAGUUGUGCAUGUGUUGCUGGCUACAUGCGCCAGUUCACAAUUGACUACAACCUCCUUUUCCAGAGAAACAGAGCUAAGAGCUAUGGAAGCACAUACGAGUGGUUUCUUAACAUGGAAUAUAUAUACAUAUAUAUAUGUGUGUGUGUGUGUGUAAUGUGUGUGUGUGUCCUUCAAAAGGUUCAUUAUAUAUAAAUAGAGACGUUACUGGGGUUGAUACAAGUCAUUAAUGGCAUCCUAAACAAUAUAAUUCUAGACAUUACCAACUUUAAUGCAUAACAAUCUUAGUUGUCACCACAAGAUUUCAAUGUAAAUUGUUUCAAUGUACAAGUGUUUUGGCAAUACACAAAAAUGGUGAUCAGCACUAUAUGUAAUUACCCAUUGCUGGAAUUAUUUAUAAUAUUGCUCACACUGAUUUGGCAAGGUAGCGGAACAAUUUGUGUUUUAUCAUCAUGUAUUCUUGCAUUGUUUCUAAUUUUCUUGUCGAUAAUACAAAAUGUAGCCCACAGUAACUGCUGGUAAAUAACGAUUUUACAUUUUUCCUUCCUUGAACUAUUCGCCCAGCAAGUGAGUCAUCGCUAGUUUCGCAACACACAGCAAUUAAUGAAGCGAAAGGUUCCGCACCGACUCUUCCAACACCAACGCCUCCGCCGUGGAAGAGAAAUGCGGCCGUGGCUCCAAGUUCCCCGACGCGAUCCUAUGCGUCGAUGCAUCUGUGACCUCUUUUAUCUUCUCCAAAACGCUUCGAUACAAAUUCCAAUGCAUACACCCUGCAGCGAUAGCCGGCAUCCCAAUCGGAUGCAUUCUCACAAACUCUCGCACAUCCGCCGCAUUUCGCAGAUGCGUCAAAUACCCCACCAAUCCCUCUGCCAAGAAAUUAUCCUGCUCAUUGUAGGUGUACGGUUUCAAGAAAAUUGCCGUGUGAGGAGGAUUGAGUAGCGCUUUAUAGGGAGUGUCAUCAAUAAGGAGAGUGUUGGUCUCAUUAAAUUCGCCGUCAGGGAAUCUCGACCAAACUUUCGCGAGCUCCUUCAGAAACAGCGGCUGGCGUCUGUUCGUAGGAUUCUUAAACCCCGUGGCGGUGCAAUCGCCUUGAUGCAUGACGAACAUUACCUUGUGCUGCAAACCCUCACCGAUGUAGUCAAGGAUCUUGCGCACGUUGGCCUCCAUCCUGGAAGACCACACGCCGACGUGGAAAUUCUCGAAGCAAAAAUCGAUGAAGGCGAUGCAGAACGGCCGCUUGAAUACAUAGUUCAUCCCCACCAAUGCUCCGGUCUAACUUCUUGUGGCAGGCCACCAAGAUACCGUUCAAGUCGAGGAUCAAGAGCUUCUUCCUCGCCGGCGUGCCGAGCCUCCACGCUUGCGCCAAUGAAGCCCGGUUCUCCUCCAAUGCACUGCUAGAAGCAUAGUUUCCAUUCGCAGUAUCCAAAGGUUGCAAUUCUUCCUCUGCUUUAGCAACUGUUUCGCAAGACCCGGAGCUUUCCUCACCACGUCCACGAAGGACAUCUCUUACAGCGGCAGCGCUGGCCUCGCUAUUCUCCAUGUCAUUAGCGACACCAUCUGGAGGUUCAGCAGCGAAAGGAGAGAUGACGAUUACAAAAGUUUCUAGGGUUUGAAGAUUGAAGGAACAACACAGGAAUGCAAUCCAUGGCGCAAUGGGGCGAAGGAGAGUUACGCACCUUGAAGAGCAGGAGGAGGAGGCUUCAUGGUUGGGCCUUCUGAGCAGGGGGGUGUGUUGGACGUUGCGAUUCCAGGGCAGGGUGACUUCAAUGUGAACCCCUCUUUUUACCACGACCGUGCCCUGUCUGGAUCUUAGUGCCAUGAUGAUUCAGAAUUGGCGCCGUUGUCCCCUUCAGCUUAUGGCAUUGAUAUAAGGCCGAUGUACAUUGAGGGGCGUACUUGCAAAAAUAAUCACAAGCAGGGGCACAAAUCAAAAAUAUGUACAAAGAGAGGUGCACGCACAAAUAUAAUUACUAGCAAGGGCAUAAAUUGGAAAUAGAAUUUAUAGAGAGACUCAGACAUCUUCGUUGAUUUGCUUGGCUUCACUUUCGCAUAGUUGAGGGAAACGAAGGUCACCAGCAAGACAAGGAGAUUGGACACUGACAACUUGGAAUAGAAUAGUUAUUGGAACAGUGGUCCCUGCAGCCAAAGAUGCCCGUGGUACUUUUGCAAGCUAUUAUUUCCAAGUCUUUGCUCUUUAUCAAUUCAGACCCAAUAAACCCGCAUGCAUGAGCAUUGUAUGCUCAAUAGAGUGAGAGAGGAAUAUACAAGAAUACAAAUGGCAGGUGCAUAUUCUUUGUUGCAAUCAGCCAGUGCAAAGCUGUCAAGUUUGCUGCUCAUCAGUAGACAUGCCCGACUUUUUUAAAACCCUUUCACCUUAAAGGCAAGGAGCUUGCAAAUUUUUAUGAAUCAUUUGUGUGGGACAUACAAGGUCUGUGAUCAUUGAAUGUCACAAACCAUGCCCAAACCAAGCUUGGGGCAAAAGUAACAUAUAUGGCUUCAUGGAGGAGUUGCGAGUUGCACCAAAAGCAUUUGGUAAAAGAAUAUAGUUUGGGGUUUCAAAAGCUUGUGCCAUUACUUGUGAGAUUGGCUAUAAAAAAUCCUAGUUGCAUGACUACAUUUGACAAGGAAUAAUUGAUAGUAGUUUGUCAAAGCAUUUCUUUGCCUUCAGGCUUGAAAGAUUGUAGCUGCAAGCUAUAACCUUGUGUUCACUACAAAUGCAAUCUAUUCAAAGUUAAGAUACCAAGGUAUCUACCUUAGCCUCAAUGGAGUACAUAGAAAAGGUUACCUUGUUCAUAUUGCUUUUAAGAUUGUUCCAAUUGAAAAUAAUGAAAAUUAGACAUGGUUUUUUCACUAUUUAGAAGAUAUUUUUCUUAAACUUUGCAAGCAUUGUAUUUAGUAGUGAUUGCAAGAAGGUGUGUAAAGUUUUGAUGUUUAAUUUUAUAUUUGAUUUUGCAUUCAAUUUUGCAUUGAUAACAAUGAUAUGUCCAAGGAAUUCAAAAUGGAAUUGUUGCAAACCUUCCAUUUUAAAAACCAUUGUGCAGACAUUUGGCACAUCAAAGAGAACAUAAAUUGGCACUACAAAACUAAGUUGAAUGUGAAGUUGUAGACAACUGCAAAGGCAUUGAUCUUAGACACCCAUGUAGUUGCAAAAGUAGAUAUCUUCAAGAUGCAUACUACUAUACAUAAAUAUCUUGUUGUUAUUCAAAGUCAAAACUAAAUCCUUGGUUAUAAUAGAUGUAAUACAGUAUGAAGAAGAUAUUGGUAUUAUCAACACAUAGAGAUAGGAAGUUGGAGCCAUAUUUAGGAAGUUUCUAGAACUUUUUAGAAUUUUUUAGAAUUAGGGCUAAAUUAAUCGUUUAUGUGGGACUUAUCAUAGAACAUUCUAGAAAGGGCUUAAGGUGGUUAUUUAUAUGGGAUCCUCCAUUAAGAACAUUCUAAAAAGUUUUAGGAUGCUUAGAUAAAUUAUAAAUAGGACUUGCCAAGGCCAUUAGAAUAGUUGGUUAAGUAUGGCUUUGGUUCCUUUCUUUAAGUAAAAUUUGGUUUUGCACUUUUUUGUUCAAUUCUAUUUUAUUCUCUUUUACUCUAUUAUGCCUUUUACAUUCCAUUCUAUUUAGUUUUAUUCAAUUUUGUUCUAGUCUAUGUUGUCCUACAUUGUGACAAAAUUUAUAUUGCUAUGGAUUAGAAGGAUCUUAGAUCUUAGACAUAAUCCAAUCUCGUUUGAAUAGUUCAUCAUGAUUUAGAGUUCUUAUUUCAAACAUAUCAAUAGCAAUAAAUUCAUGGAUCUUUGAUAAAUGCCACAUGGAACCUUUUGAUGUCAUUUUUUAGGUUAUUUAAAAAAUUGGAUGCCUUUUCUACAAUUGACAUUUAAAUUAUGCAGCCAUUCUAAUAAGUAUUUUUUUUAAAUCAUCUCAAAUGUAUAGAGGUGUGUAAUUGAAGGAUGAACUUGUUAGGUCAUACAAAAAGAUGAUACUCUCUUUGAGGUCAUCAACUAAGACAGUAAAGUUUUUGGCAUUGUCAAAUUAAAGAACUACAUAUAUUCUUGUGGCAACUUCUAACAAUGUCAAGUAUCUUAUGUUCAUGCCUACAAAGGUGUAGUGAAUCUAUGCCAAACUUCGAAUUGUUCAUGCAUUUUUUGUAUACCACAAGUGAGCUAGUUUAUACUAGUGUUGUUAUCUCCAUCAAUAGAAGAACAAUGGUAGCUUAUAGUAUCUUGCUGCCUUUGCUUAAAAUAAAACAAGCAUGACAACCAUGGAAAAUUUGCCUAUGCAAACGUGAUAAAACCUACUUGGAAAAUCAAAUUAGGUGCUCAAAAUGUGGCAAAAAGGGUCACAAUUUACAUACAUGCAAUCAAUGAUGCCAAGUAUAAUGAAAUUUUUUAAGAUCAAGAAGGUAAUAAUACUUGGUGACCUUUGGUAUUCAUGAGCUCUACAUGUGAGAAGCAACAAUGACAAAUUAUGCAUGUCUUUGUAAUUAUUUUCAAUUUGUGUCUCUACUUAUAAUUAUUUCUUUGGAUGCACCUCUCAAUAUAAAUUCUCUUUAACAUGAUGAUCUUAAUAUUACAAAUCAUCAUAAAUGACGCAAGUGCUAUCACAUAUGUAUCUCACUUGAUUUUGUAUAAUCAUAUUAUUAUUAUAAUAUAUUAUGUCUAUUUUAUUUAUUUAUUUAUUUAUUUUAAGUAAAUUAGUUGUAUCAAAGGUUUGUAAUGAAUUAUAAUUGUCUAUACUAAGAAGUAUUUUUUAAAUAGUAUUUUUAUUAUAUUUAUUAUUUUCAAUUAUAUUCUACUAUUUUGGAAUAAAUGCAAUAACAUCUAAGCUAUAUAGAUAUUUUUACUAUCAAAGCAUUGUAACAACAUAAAGGCAUUGAAAAUAAUUGCAAACUAUCCCUUAGAAUCAAUAAGGUUGUAAGAUAGAUUGAGUUGGUAUGGCUUCUGUGAACCAAUGAAAUAUUUGUUUUCUAUUAUGUUAUUACUACAAUUUAACUAAAAUAUGUAGAAGAUUGGAUGGAAAUGCCUUCACUACUUUAAAAUUUAUGAAUUAAAUUCUAUUAUUCCAUUAAAAUUUUAUACAUUAUCAAUCACAAAUAAGAAAAUAAAAUAAAAUAAUAAUAAAUAAAUAAAUAAAUAACUCUAAGGCUUGAAAAGAAAAAAUUGUUCUAUAUUUCACUCUCUACUAUUGAUGCCCCACAAGUCUUUAGGACUAAAUUAAGGAUCCUGUUGUAUUCUUGAAAUUGCAAAAAAUCCUUAAAAAAAAAGUACACAUGAAUGGAUUACACUUCUCAAGUAUAAGAAACCUAUAAUGAUAGAAUUAAGUCUUUAAUUAAUAAAACAAAAAACAAUCAUACAGUGGUAAUUAUGAAGCAUAAGUCUAAAAAUGCUCUUGUGCAAGUUAUGUCUGUUGAUGACAAAGGACAUCCUAUUAUGACCUUUGCAUGUAUAUUACUAGACCUCAAAUUAAUUAAUAGACUUUGGAUACAAGGUCUUUAUUUAGAAUUGAGUUUUCAAAUCAUUGUUUAUCAAAUAUCAUUUGUCGUUGUUGAGAAUAUUUUAGAGAAAGAGAGACAAUAGGAGUUAGAAGUAAUAUGAAUACAUAUGUAAACACACACAAGAAGUGAGUUUAUUAAUAGGAUUAUAUUUCUUAUACAAAAAAAAAGAAAGAAGAUAAAUAAAGUUUUCCAAUACAUUCCAAACAAUAUACCUACAAUAAAUACUAUAGACUACAAUAAAUAAUAUGGAGAACUCCAACUACAUUUAAUGCUCUCAAUACUCCUCCUUGCUUGUCAUAAUAUUUAUAUGCAUAGAAUUAUAACCUAUAAUUUUGUGUAAUCUCAUAAGAUCAAAAAUUGUUGCCUCAUUAAAACCUUAUCUAGGAAAACCUUAUUAUAUUUAAGGAAAAAACCAUAGAUAAAAGAAAAAGAGUACAACAUUAUCUAAAGAGUUUAUUAACUUUCUUACUCAAGAAAAGCAAGUCGUCAUAUACGAAUGUCAUAAGUAAGUUGACAAUGGUUUGACAACAAGAGAGCUUUGAUAAAGAGAUCACCAAGGUUAUUUACAGAUUCAAUUUUCUUGAUCUUAAGUACUUGAUUAGUAACCAAGUCAUAGAUAUAACUAAAAUACUUUGGAUCAAUAUGCUUUGUCAUAUCUCCUUAACUGAAACCAAUUUACAUUUGUACAAGACAAGUGCUAUUAUCUUCAUACAAGAUAAUUAGAGAAUCAUUAUAUGAAAGUCGACAGGUUGUCGGAAUGAGUUUAUCAAUUUGUUGCAAUCAAAUACAUUCCCAAGAUUCUUCAUGUAAGGCAAUAAUUUUUACAUAGUUGGAUGAAGUUAUAAUUAUUGUUUGUUUCAUUUAUUUUCAUGAUAUUGCAGCUCUAUGUCUUAAGAAUAUAUAACUCAUUUGAAAUUUAGUUGUUUUAAUAUCAAAUUUAUAUCUUACAUCAUAAUAUCCAACUAAUUUUGAAUCUACACAUUGUAUACAAUAUAAUCUCAAAUCUUUGGUGUCUUUUAAAUAACAUAGUAAAUAUUUGAUGUCAUUCCAAUAUCGUACUAUUGAAUGUACAUUAUAUCUUGCAAGAAUACUAAUUAUAAAUAUAACAUCUAGUUUCGUAGAUGUGGCUAAAUAUAAAAGUGCUCCAAUUGCUACAAAGUAUGAAUAUUGUUCUCCCAAUAUUUCUUCAUCCUCUUUGCAUAGAUGGUAUGGAUCAUGACCAUCAUGACCACACUCAACCAUUGGUGUAGACAAUGAAUAAGCAUCAAUCAUAUUGAAUCUCUAUAAGAUUUGUCUAAUAUACGUUAGUUGGUAGAGAAAAAUGCUACCAUCUGUGAGAUGCAUAAUCUAAAGAUCAAUACAAAAAGUUGUUUUUCUUAACAUUUUCAUUUCAAAUUCACGUAUAAAUAGGUUAAUAGCUACAAUGUAUGUAAAUCUAAUAUCUACUAGGUUAAGAUCAUCAACAUAUACAACGAUGAUCAGAAAACCAAUUUUAUCUUAUUUGAAAAAUAAACAAGGGAUUAAUUGAUCACUUACAAAUUUAUUUAUAAUUAAAUAAUCUUGGAGACAUUGAUACCACAUGCAUCUAGAUUAUUUUAGAUCAUACAUGGCCUUGUAUAAUUUAAUACUAUAAUAUCGUCUUAGAGUAAAUGCAUUUAGAAUUCUUAUUUCCAAACCACGUGGAACUUUCAUAUAAAUAUCUACAUCAAGUAAACCAUACAAAUACGUAGUUACGACAUGCAUGAGAUUUAUCUCAAGCGUGGCAUGAAUUACUAUUCCAAUAAUAUAUUAGAAUGUAAUUGAAUCCAUGAUUGGAGAAUAUGUGGAUUCAUAAUUAAUGCCAAACUGUUCGGUAAAUCCUUAAGCAACAAGACAAACUUUAUAACAGAUUAUUUUACCCUUAGCAUCUCGCUUGUAUAUUAAUACCAUCUUAUAUCCCAUACGGCAAGGAGUAAGAGUGUCCACAAUUGGAUCAAAGAAUUUCUUUUUAUGCAAAGAAGCAUAUUUCUAGAAAAGAUAUAUCCUAGAAUUUCUUUUUAUGCAAGUGAAGAUAUAAUGUGCAUGGACAUAUUGACAUUAAUUGAUGGUUCGCUAAGUUUAGUAGGACCUUCCACAAAAACAACACCAAAAUCACCACAUGUUAUAGCUUUCUUCUUUCAUGCUUGCUUAUCUGAUCCACAAGUCCUUUUAAUUGCUAAUGUUUUAACCUGAGGUAUAUUUGUUAGUGGCAUUGCAAUCUGCAUGGAUUCAUUCUAAGCCUUAUUAAUUAGAACUCUUGUAUCUGAGGUACAUCAUUGAAGCCAUCACAUGUUUCAUUUGCAAUCUGUCUUAGAUACAAAAUCUUGGCAACUUUAUUUUCAGCCAAAGAUGUUCUAGGAUUAAGAUUUAUUGUAAAUAUUUCUAGUACUCCAAAUGCAAGUAUUGUAUUUCUUUGUUGAUUAAAUACUUCUCCUUAAAGAGAUGAAAAUAUGUUCUCUUCAAAACAAUAAUUUUAAAAAUAUGUAUGUAAUAAUGUGCCAGUUGAUGGAUCAUGUAUACAAAUAAUGUUUGGUGAAUCAAAACCAACAUAUGUGCCUUCUCGCCAAUGAGCUCCAAUGGUAAGCUGUUGACGUUCUCAUACUAGAAUCCAAGUACGACAACCAAACACCCAUAGAUGAGAUACAUUUAGAACAGAACCUGAAAUAAACUCUUGUUGUGUAAUAAUUUCAAGAAAAGAAGGACGAAUGCAUAUUAAUGCUGCAACAUGCAAAAUUGCAUGACUCCACAUAGAUACAUAUAAAUUUGUAUGAAGAAGGAGUGGUCGGAUAAUGAAUUGUAUAUGCUUUAUAAACAACUCUACAAGUCCAUUUUGAGCAUGUUCAUAUGGAAUACUAUAUGUCAACUUAAUCCACGUUGUAGUACAAUAAUGUUCAAAGGAUUUUGAUGCAAAUUCUUUUGCAUUAUCCAUACACAAUGUUUUGAUAUGAUAAUAAGGAAAAUGUGGUCGAAAAAAAAUAAGCAUAAAUAUAAGAUUAGCAAAUAUCAUAUUUUGAGAUGAUAAUAAUGAAACAUGUGAUUGUUUGCAUAAUGCAUCAACAAAAACCAAAAAAUAAUGAAAUAGUCCAGAUAUUAGAUUAAUAGGACCACAAAUAUCACCAUGCAACCUUUCAAGCAUUGGUGGUAAUUCUUGUAGGAGUUUCCAAAUUGAAGGUUCACCAAUCAUCUUGCCUUGCAUAGAUGCACGAUAUAAUUCUAUAGAAUUUAUAUUUACAGAUCUUAAAUUAUGCUCAGCUAUUCAUGGAAUUAUCUUUCAAAAUAAUAUAGAUUUUAGAUAUUCUAAUUGUCCAUGCCAAAGAAAAAUAUGACUCUCUGUUAUAGAUGAUGCAAAAUUAAAUAUAAUAAGAGGUCGGAUUGCAAUCUUGUAUAAACCAUUUGUCACAACAAAAGCUUUUUUUACAACUUUAUGUUUAUGUUCAAGAACCAAAACCUCUCGCAUAUCUAAAAUUGCAGUUGAAAGGUGAUAACUAUUGGCACAUAAAUCUUGGUAGUUGAUUAGACUCUGAUGUACUGAGGGUACAAACAUUGCAUAUUUAUAUUUUAUGAUAGAGCUCGCACACAAUUUACCAUUAUUAUUUCCUCUUAAAAUUAGAACACAUUUGUUCCAACCAUAGUCAUCAAAUUUUUAGUUUGCAAAGUUGAAGAUUUUUCAAUAAAAAACUAUCUAUCCCAUAGGAUAAUAUGUGCUGCUGUAGAAUCAAUGAGCACAUCAUGUGAUUCAUUAUUAGAGGUUUUGUCAUUCAUAUAAGCCUCUAAAACAUCAAUACCAAUAGAAUCCAUGAACGCAUCCAUGGUACGAACUACAUGAGCCUCAGCUCGAAGUUUCUUAUUUUUUUAGAAUAUUUUAAUAAAGUAUUAUAAAGUACAAUACGCAUGUGCCAAAUAUCCAAUCAUUCUACAUUUAUGUCAAGAAUACAUCUCUAAUUUUUGUUUUCUACUAUAAUUAGUUGUAGAACAUUUAUUCUUUCCAUAUGGACAAAAAUGAUCACAACCAUGACUAACUUGGUGCCUAUGAGCAUUUUUUCCAUGUUUAUAUAAUUGUUUUUUAGACUUUAGAAUAUUAAAUGCAUGAGAUUCAGGAAUCGUGGUUCCAAUGGGAGGAGCUUCUACAUUGCACAAGAGUAUCUCAUUUUGUUUCUCCAUGAAAAGUAAAUAGGACAUGAGAUUAGGAUGACUUUGAAAUUUAAUAUUUCUAUAUUGUCAUGCAAGCAAAGCAAAUAAGGGAAGAAAUGUAGAAAGAGUUUUGUCAAUCAUUUCUUCUUCAUAGAUGAUUUGUCGACAUAAUCAUAGUUGUGAGACAAUACAAUACAUUUUAUUAUUGAAAGCAUUUAAAUGCUCUCAACAGUCAUCACUACAACACUAAGGUCUAUUAUUGAUGUAUACAAAUUUAUACUAAAAUUCUGUGAAUAAUUUUAUGGCAUGUUUCAAUUCUAUGAGUGUUCGUGUAUGGGGUGAGAGAAGGGACUAUAAUUAGUCAAGUAUUUCAUAUGUAGGAGAGCUCUUUAAACCAUGAGAAAUUACUCACAUCUGCAACCCCAGAGUGACCAAGUUUUUCACAAUGUUCAAAGCUUGGGAUUGCUCAUGGAAGGUCAGUUCCUCGUCAUACAACUUUGGAUUGGUUGCAAUUGACCCCAGUGACCAAAGACUUUGAAACUGAAAGGUGAUCUCAGGAGAUAGGGAGACUUGUGAGUGAUAAAUUGUCUUAUAUUUCAACUCCGAGUGCAGUAGGAUUUCUGGAGGAUUAGGCACCCUACCCGUUUGAAGUAUGGCCGCCGGCUUCUUGUGAUGACCUUGUGCACAAAUUUUUGUCAUCAGACACAUUACAGUAUUCACAAAUAACUUGAAGGCAUCAAUUCUAACUAAAACAAAAUCGAGGUAAGAAUCGAUUCUUGGAGCAAAAAGGAUGGCAGCAUCACCAACAAGGGACAUGCACCGACAGAAAUCAUUUGAAGUUCAAUUUCAACAUGCUCCAAUUCUGUCAGGGGAUGUGCACAACCAGCAGGAUUCCUCGACUCCAGCAUCCUUGAAGUUUAUCAAGUUGCUAAACAGGGGGUUCACUGAUCCUAGCAAUAUUUGAUAAGAAAUUUAUUUUGGACCGGCUUUGUACCUCAGAAACAACCUCGGUACACUGAGAAUGAUAGCGUUAAACCACCUAUAACGUUCUGACUAUUGCAGUUAAUUCCUAACUUGUGACAUCAUGAGACUCUGUUGACUUCAUCAGUCUUCUGUUUCAAGAUCUUGAAGUUGAUCAAGUCAAUAAUGUUUUGUCUUAUGUCAUCUCGCAGAUAAUCAAAUGUCCGUGGCGGGAAUUUUAUCUCUUCCUUUUGCUUUUCAGAAAGAUCGGCAUACCUCAGCGAAUUGACCAUCGGUACGAUACGGCAAGAGCCACGGCGGUAUCCCAGACUUUUCGGGAUUGCAACAGGGGUCGCUCCUCCGCUAGCUCCUCCAUCAGGCCCCAGUCCACUGUCCGGUUUACGCUUGUGAAGGUUAGAAGAGUUGUUCCCAAUCAUCUCAUCAUCUGGCCCCAGCCCAUCUAUCACUGCAUCACCUUCGGAACUAAUACUCUCCAUCGCCACCUUUCAAAGACGCUUCCUUUUUAUUGGUACAACUUUGCAAUACACCCUUAUACUCUUAUUGAUUAGAGACAAACUAUCUCGCCAGCUCCACCAACCUGCUGAUAACACAAACAUGGGGGUAAGAAAUACGAAGUGGUUGCACCUCUGAAAUUCCAACGAGGAUCAUCAACCCAUGAGAUAACAUGCCUUCACUUGUGUUCCAACUCAAAAUUAGAAAAAAAUGACUGUAUCAGAAGAUACAACAACAGUCUAUGUGUUGGUUAAAUAUAUCCAAGAGCCACGAAAACAUGAUCGAGGUACCGCAGAAUAACCUCGCUCAAAAUACUUAAAAGAUCUUAUAUAGAAGCAAGACACGAAAGGAUAAUUAUUCUACGCAUGAAUUGAUCACUGAUGAAAUUGAGACAUAUUUUUUAGAGAUGGCAAAUUGAACGGAUUCUUUGAAAAAACAAAACAAAAAACACAAGUAAGGAAUAACACUAACAUUAAAAAUUAAAGCAGAUGAAAGGAUGAAAAAAAAUAGAUAUUCAUUCGAAUUGGCAUCUAUUCAAAUAACACUGGUCACCAUGUCCAAAAUCCAUUUUAACUUUAACCAUCCUGGAUGCUUUGUCUACGCAAUAUGCGGUGACUGCAUGGUGCUAACCUUCCCUCCAUGCACCAACCUCCUGGAAGUAGGUCGUCACCAAGAAGAGAAGCAUCUCAAAUUGCAAACGAAUGCGACUGAGCUCGCACAAGCGAGUUUUCUCUUGCCAUCACCGAGUUAAUAGCCUCGUCUCAGUUGUCAUUCAUCCAACGAUGCCAAUUGCAAGAAUCAGACCACAUCUAGGGUAAUAACCGGAAACCCACCUCAGAAACAACAGCGUGCGUCGCAAGCGCCCGCUUCAAUGCACUCCAUUCUCCGACGCUCCAAUGCAUCCAUCGUUUAAAUCCAAAAAUCGACACCUACACUCAGCAGCAACAAAAGAAAAAACGAUCCAAGCGAAUCAAUGCUGUUGAACCGAACCUCUCCAGAGCAAUGAAGGCACAAAACGCACAGAAUUGCAAUCCAAGCACACCCACAAAAAAGGGCCAAGGGGAUCCGCUUCGCUUCGCAUCGUCUUACCGCAAUCGCGCCAAAUGAUACCAAGUACGGCAGCCGGAUUCGAAUUUGCAGAUUCCGGUGGGUCCGCAAACACCGUCGCACCCGGGCGAGGGCUCGUUCGAGGUCCUGAUAGGCGUCCCAGUGGCAUGCUAAGUCAGCCCUGACUCUGAUCCACGUGGCCUUCUCGGACGGUUUCGGGCUUCGACGUUCGAAUCCUUUGCGAAAGGAGUUGCCAGGUGGGUCCUCUAGAAUCUUCCAUUGAUAACGUUAUCUCGUUUUGCUUUUCAUGCUAUUAUUAGUAUUCGUAUACGUCUAAUCAGGUGUGGCAGUUGUGAAAUUAUGUCUUCGUCAGAACCCAUUUUAGCUCCAUGUUUAAAAAUAUUUAGAUUUAAAUGUAGAUGUGUACAAAAGUAUAGAUAUAUUCUAUAUUUAUUGAUUUAUUACAUAAAACAGCUUGGGUAUACGACAAAGAGACAACAAAGCCUUCUUAUUGGUUGAACAUAAGAACAUGAGAAUGGGGGAACUUGGAUGAACAAGGGAAUAGAUGGAUGAGCUAAAAAUUGCGGUGCCUAAUGGCACAAAUUUCUACUUUAAUUUUUAUAUAUAUAUAUAUAUAUAUAUAAAUAUGAGAAAUAAAAGAACAAGAUUUAGUGUGAUACAAAGUUCCUUUUCUUGUUUGAAUUUGAAUUGAAAAAGUUUUUUUUUUUGUUUAUAUGUUUAUUAUUUAGCACAAAAUGAUUAGACAUGUUAUAUUAAAGUGUGAUGUGGUCUUGCUGUAUUUUUUAAUAGCAGGAAAUGUGAUUUCUUUGUGAGAGGAAAUUCAGAAUCAGUUCUUCAAUCUAAUUCUUUGUAGUAUCAUAUAAUUAUUUGUCUGUUGGUGUUCUAAGCAAUUUAAUUGUUGGGCUAAUCUCAUGAAUCAAUAUAAGGAAAACUUUGAGAAUUUCACUUGUUUUUUUAAAUGAACUAUCUCAUUGAAUUUUAAAAAAUGUUAAUUUGAAAUAAACAUUCUUCUGAAAAAGUGGCUUAAGUCCUAAGAAGGUUAAAUUAACUAUGUAAAAGUUAACAUUACUCUUGAAAACAACAGACAUAUUAGGUGUCUUAUGUACACAAGCAUCCAUUUGUGUGUGUGUAGAUAUAUAUAUAUAUAUAUAUAUAUAUAUAUAAUAUCAAGUUGUGUAAAUUGCAUGUUUUAGAAUGUCACAAUUAUUUAACUAUUCUUGGCAACUAAUCAUCCUUUAUAUAUACAAAUAUAUACCAAAUAAUCACAAUAGUGGAAUUUUAUUUCAUAAACAUAUGUAAUUUCUUGAAAAUAUUUCUUUAUAUUAAUGUUAAUAUCAAUAUAAAAAAAUUAAUUACCAAAAUAUUAUUAGUAAUUAUAUUGAACAAUUUGAUAUAUACAAUAGAGAAGAAAUUUCUAGAGUAGGUUUUAAUACAUGGUUUACGAAUGCAAAGCAUUUUAUAUAGUUCUUUCAUCAAAUUGAAGGAAUAAUUACUUUAAUCUAAUUAAAAGUUAAUUUUGCAUGUGUAUUAGAGUUCAAUUUUAAUCUGUUUUGAAAGUAAUCACACAUUUGAUAGUAAUGAUGAUUAUUAUUAUUAUUUUUAUUUUACUUGUUAAUUUAAAGAUAUGUUAUAGAUUAAAUUGUAACAACAUCUAUUUUAAAGAAAUAAAUAGUAUUAAAAAUACAAAUUUAAUUUAUAGAUGUUUAUUACUUCUUAAAAUAGAAAUUAAAAUAUGCAUUAUAGAUAUCAUUUAAAUAACUUAAAUUAUAAACAUUAAAAUAUAUGAAUAGUAUUAUACAAGAUUUAUUGUAAAAUAAGAUUAAUUAUUAGGAUAUCUUAUACUUGUGACAUUCUAAUAAGUGCUUAUCCUUUAUAAGACAUCCUAAUAAUUGCUUAUCCUUUAUAAGACAAUUAUAAAAGUAAGUGCUUAUCCUUUAUAAUACAAUUUUAUUUUUUAUCAUAUUAUAAUUAUUGUUUUAAUAGCUAACCUUGUAAAAAACUAUUGAAUCUAAAAUUAUAUAUAUAUAUAUAUAUAUAAUUCACUCCAAGAAUUAACUUUAUAGAAAUAAUCAAGCCAUUUUAAUAGCCAAUGGUAUAUGAGCAUGUUGAAUAAAUUUUCAUAGAAUUAAAAUAAAAAAUAUAUGCACUUAAAAUGAUGUAUUAAUAUGUACCAAAUACUUGAAAAUUAUCUAUUCAAAGAAUGGUGAAUUUUAAAACUUGACUAUUAAUGUAAUUUACUUCAAAUUUCAAUUCAAAUAUUAAUAAUGUAGGUGUUGUAAGAAGAAGUAAAUAAUAUUAUAAUGUAGUUUUUUCCACUUAUCUAUUUGUAAGCAUGCCAUUAGAAAACUUUUAUAAUAUUUAUAUUUUAUAUUCUAAAACUUGGUUUUAAAAAUAAUCUUUGUAUACAUCUUUAUAUUUGAACAAUAUAGAUUUGCAGUGAAAAAUAAAUUUGAAAUAGUUAGAAGUAUUUAUUGUAUUAAAUUCAUGCAUUAAAAAAGAAAAAAGAAAAAAGAAAAAGUGUGUGUUCUCAAUGCAAGUAUAUAUAUAUAUGUUAAAUAAUAAUAAUAAAAUCAAAAUAAAAAUCCAAAGAUUGAUGUAGCAGUUUAAAACUAGACUGAAAUUAGUAUCCAGAGUUUUGAAAAAUGGUUAAAAAGAAAGAAUGGUUUGAAUAUACUGGUUACAAUAGAUCAACUGGAAUUGCACUGUCCAUCAGAGUUGGUAUAUAGAUUAUGCAUAAGUUGUUUGACCUUCAAUAAUUAUUUCAAGUCAGACUUUAGCAGAUUAUAACCUUAGGAAAAUACCAAUACAUUAUGUGUGUAUAGUGGGUAUUGAAAAUACCAAUACAUUAUGUUUGUAUAGUGGGUAUUGAAAAUACCAAUAAAUUACGUGUAUAUAUUGUUACUGUUAUUUUGAUAUCCUAUUUUCAAAACAAUAGUUACAUUAUAAUUCUUAACUUUGAAGUUAUACAUUUUUUUAAACAAGAUUCCUUUAAGUUUAUUUGUAUCUUCAAAUAAAUUAAGCUUUGGGGUUUAGAAUCAUACAAGAGCAAAGUUUAAAUCUUGCAUUCCUAAAUACCAAGGCUCAUUAUAGCAUGAGGUAAUCACUCCUCAAUUAAUUCCAUUCAAGUAAUUUUCAAAAUAUGAUUCAUUGUACACAAAAGUCUCACUAUUUUACCAAAUAAUAAAGAGAUAGAAAAAAAACAAUGGAAUUAAAAGUAAAAGAGAGAGAGAGAGAGAGAGAGAGAGAGAGGAUAACUGAUACUUUUCUUAUCAAAAACUCGUUUCUACAGGCCAAGAUUGAGUAUGAGAUGAAAAUUUUGCCACCCAACGACAGCGACCUGGCAGGAAAACGCGGGUGGGGAUGUACCGACAUAAAACCCAGCCCGUCCCAGUCGGCGUGCCCCGCACGAGCCUGUGGCCAGCUUCGCCGAGGGGGCGCCGUUUAAUCGAGGACGAGGCAAGUGCACGAGAUCAUUCAUUCAUGCGCUCUCGGACAAUGUGACGACGACGACGACGAAGAAGAAGCUGGCAAUGACGUGCAAUCCCAACUCGCCGUAGCAGGCAGGAAACACUCAUCGCUACUGCCACUUCCAGACUUUAAGAACGUCGCAUGAAGAGGAGCGUCGAGUACUGCUUGUCCAUGGUGAUUGUCUCACAAUUGAUUGCUCGGUGCCAGGCGGUGUCGCGCCUCAGGGCCUGAUCGACCGUUGCUGUUGUUGUUGAAGUUGGAGCAGGCGAUGUGACGAACACAGCGAUUGCUGCUUGAAGUCAAAAGUGAGUUCCGAGGAGGCUAGUAACGCGACCGUCCCGUCUAGAGAAGGUGUAGAGCGGCUGGUAUCAGUUUUUCGGAAGGGAUGAGGCGCGUCGCGGCCUUGACGUAUUGUGAGACUCGAUCGGUAGUAGUAUUGGGGUUGCUGAUUCUGAGCUUGAGUGCCGUGGUAGUGGUGGUGGUGGAUUCGGCGCGACUAGUGGAGGCCGCCUCAGAACAGCCCAGGAAGUUGACGACGCCUGAGUCUGUGCAGGUCUUUGUCGAGCCAGAACUGUUACCGCAGCGCGUGAAACCUUUUUCUACUGGUCGCUUCGGAGAUGGGGAUGGGGACGAUGCGAUGUGGGAUAUGGAGGCGAAGCCGCCACCUUCGCAUAGACUGCGGGAUCGUACCCUGUGGGGAUAUUCCAAACGUGUCGUUCCGACAGGACCCAAUCCGCUUCACAAUUAGGCUUAGUAGCUUGGUUCGGCAUCCAGGAGGAGGAGGUUUAGCGAACGGACACUAGAGGUUGCUUUUCAGGGUUAUUCUGUGACGUGUUCAGCUUGUGCUGCGACCGCCUUCUUCCUCUUCAAUUAGAAACCGUAUUUCUCUGCUUCAUCAACAGGAACAGAUAUCUGCCCCGGCGCCGCCGAUCUCAAACUUGCCCUCCCUUGUUUCCAUUGCGUCGGUGACUUCGACUCUGCGCAAACUUUCAUGCAAAUUAUUGUUAGUCUUAGUACUACUACCAUUAUAAUUACUCUCAUUAUUCUGGCCGCAUGAUUGAAAUACUCUAUGAGAUGGCUUUUGGGAAAGGCUAUUCUCACCGCAAGGUUACUCAGUCGGCUUGAUUGCAGUUCCAACCGGAGUUUUCGCUGAGCAAUCCAAAGUAUUUGAUUUAGGAGACACGUUCACCGACUGACGGGGUUCUGAGCUGUAGAAUAGUGAACCCAGAGACUAAGUCCCUUCGAUUAUACGAGUGUUCAAACCUGCAGAACCUUGUGAGGUACUGAAGCUAUAGAGUACACUUCUCCAUCAAAGACAUACCAUCAAAAUAGCGGUUUAGAAGAUUUAUGUUUUAUGCGCAACCAUGAUUGAAUCAUUCAAGCUAUGCCAGCCUGUAGGACGCGAUCGAGCACCAUCAACAAAGGACUUGCUCGACGAUUCAACGCUGGAUGGUUGCGGGUAUUCAAUAACAGGGGCAUAGUUGUUUAAAUAUUAUAUACUGAGUGCAGCUUUCCAGGCUCGAAAGGGGUUGGGGAACGCCACAUUGAAAGUUGGAUCACAGUCGGGAUAUCUUAGGAGGGGGAGCGAAUCAUUGCGAUUCAUAGCUGCCAUUAAAAUUUAUUGCUUUCAGUAGGACAUUUAUCAUCGUGAGUUCGUGUGUAAAGAAUUGCAAAUAAUUGGGAGGAUGUGAAUGCCACGGCUGUACUCAUUUCUUUCCUUUCACCUUAUAUCUUAGAGGUCACUACUUGUGACUGAUCUUUUGAGCUGCCGGAUUUUGUCCUAAAUGGCGACUGCGUUCUCAUGUCCAUCACUGGUGCUGCGCGAAAAAAAUAGCACCAUAGCUAUCACAUCGGCGUCUCUUGCAAACAACAGUGUCCAGUAUAUUGCAUGACAUCAGUGCUGAAACUGUUAUUUCCAAUCUUAAUAGCGCAGAGAUGUUUUCAUUAUGAGAGGCUGUGUUUUAGUAGUUUCAGAGGUUUCCUCUGGCGGCUUGUCUCUACCCUUGCAAUGCAAUGAGAUAUAUUUAAUGCCAGGAAAGUCGAAACUGAAAUGCAGAUCAAUUAUGCAUUAAGUCCUGAUUUAAGAGUUGGGGUAAUUGGAACAUAACCUGCAGUUAUCUGCCGUGAUCGCCAAAAGCUGAUGCACAGCAACAAUCCAAUGUCCUUCACUUUCUAGAAGAUGUAGCUCCAGAAUCUAGCUUCCAAUUGCUACUAUCUCCUAGAGGAGUGCGUUGAUAGGUUCCCUUCUCUUGGACCAUUCCUCGAGAGAGCUUUAUAUUACCAUUGAUAUCAUAAUCUUAACACAACAAUCAUUCGGAUAUGCAGACGGGCUGAAUGCGAAACGUAGGUUAGAGGAUUUAGUGAGCAACGGGUUUAUUAUUUUAUUUUAUUUUUUGCAUAUCAAUGAAAUCCGUGGGACCUGGAGUAAACCACCAGCUGACGACAGGUUGCAAAACAAAGCAUUUGACAGGGGUGCAGAGUUUUUAGACCUCCAAGACGGGGAGGGAUCUCCAGUAAUGAACUAUCAGUCCCAAAACUUGCGGCGCCCAUGAAUGCACUUCCAUUGACGCGUUUCGGUCCCUUCUUCGAUCCCUACAUUCAAUCUGUACCAUCUGCUCAAUCAAUUUUUACGAGCCGGUCGGGGCCUGUGGCUGUCCAAAAAAAUCUAAACUCGUACAGCGAGACUGUCCUCACCUCCGGACACGGCAAGAGACAAGUGCCUCUUCGUUUGUCACGAAGUUUUUUCCACGCUAUACUACAGUAACAGUAGAAGGUUGUCAGCCCAGGUCUCCAGAGCAACCUUUUCCUCCUGAAGAAAUUCAAUAUCAAAGGCGGGGUUCGUAGCAGACUUUGACCUAGAAUGUACUGCUUUGAUGGACAUGAUCGGAGCUAGGGGGUGCCGUGUCCGGCAAAAUUCGGCCCCCGCCAAUGGUCUAAAAUUUUCACUCCCAUUUGAGAAAUCUCCUACUGGUCCAAAAUUAGACAAGUCCUCAUGCAUCCGAAACAAUCUUAAUUAUAAAGACGACGACGACGAGGCUGUACACAAGGACAGCCAUGGGUGGGGACCGUAAGCUGUAUUUGGCUCACUCCUAGUGCUGUGUACUACACAAAACGGGUGCAGCCAAGACGAUGAACUUCGUUCUAGAAGAAGCUCUUUGUUGACCUGCAUCCGAUCACCAACAACCUAUCCAUCUGCACAGAGCCAGCCUGCUGGCCUCCAGCAAAGAUUCUCUCCAAGUCCGCCAAUAAAACGCCCCCCACCUUCUCUGGUCUUGCAACAUGAAUGCUACCCACGUUAACGUCCAACUUAUCGAACGAUCUGGCAAGCAAUACCAUCAAAACCUGAAGGUAAAAAACCCAGACUAGUCUUCGGCAAAGUCAAGUAUACUAUCACCAAUAGUCUACAUUGUGGGUAGGUGGGUGGGUGGCGACAUUGUGGCAAAAAAUUCCUCAUUUCAUCAUGUAUUAGUGUAUGACGUCGGAGAAGAAGAGGCGCUGUAUCCAGGACCUCAAAGUCCAUGACAUGAGGCUCUCUAAUCCGCGACACCCAUGGCUCCGACCAGCAACGCGGGAUGCAUUUAACGCAAUGCUUGAGCAUCACGCGGCGAGGCACGCGACAUGCAGGGCCCGGAUCCCUGGCACCUGGCCCUUAUUCGCAAUCUCCUUUGGAUGCUGCGCUGGGAAAGUAGCCCACUGUAAAAGCCGACGACGACGACAACGACAAAAUGGGUCAAGUGGUGUCAGUCUCUGCCACAAUCUACACAGGAAUUUCGACCUCGCCAGGGCGCUUCCGCAACACGUCGAAAGAUGUAAUCCGCAAUCACCCUUCAGCAACAACCGGAUCAAAGGUGGAGGCUUUGGUUGCAUGAGGAUGGUGAUCAUCAAUCAUCAAACAUUCAAAAAAACAAAAAAACAAAAAAACAAAAAAAAAACCCACUUUCCAUGCUUGUUAAAGAAUUGGUAGAGUGUCUUGCAAGUUGCAAGUUGGUGUGGAGUUGUCAAAUAUGGAGUUGUAUCUUUUUUGAAACUAUUGUGAAAGGGGUUUUUUAUAUUCUGGAAAGAAGUUGCAAGGUUAUGGUAUUUUUUAUUCUUUUGUUGGCUGAUAUUAAGAUGUAGUAUUUAGUUGGUAUGUUUUGUGUUAAGAAAAAUCAGGGCAAAGGCUUUAAGAUGACAAGAUUAGAAUAUACUAUUUUUCUUUCAUGGCAUGAAUAUUGUUGUGUCCUAAAAUUUGCAGUAGAUCUACCUCAAGUGAGUUUUAGAGAAAUUUAGAGAAAUUUUGUCAAAAACUCAUAGUUUUUUUGAGUAAUAUAAAACAUAUAAACGAUAUAUAUUACAAUUUUUAGAAUUUAUAAAUAAAGACACACGUUGAGGCUUAUAAUAAAAUAAUAUUUUGAUUCAUCUUAUGGUCUCUUACGACCGUGUAUUAACUCUAAAAGCCAUAGCUUCUAAAAGAAUUUUCCUCUUUAUAAGCAAUUGACCUUUGUAAGGCUUUUGUACUAUGGCUUUUCAAAAUGGAUUUUUGGAUAUAUUGACCCUUUUAUUUAUUAGUGGAUUUUUUUAUUAUUGUGUAAUAAAGACUAUGCUUCUAUAAAGAUUAAGAUUAGUUAUAAUUUAUUUAUUUAUUUAUUUCUCUUGUUUCUUUCAACUUGGUCAAAUAGAACGUAGUAUAUUCUGUUAUAUUAGAUCUUUUGUGUUUUUUUCUAUAAAAUAUCUAUUUAAUUAAUAUACUUAAAGUAAGACAGCAUUAAUGUUAUCAAUCAUUGACUUGUUUUCAUAAGAAAUAAGAAUAUUUUAAUUAAAAUCUUUCUUCUUCUUUUUUCAAUCAUUGUUGUAAAACCAAUAAAAGAAAUUUAUUUUGUCUGCAUACAAUUAUUUUUUCAGUAUAUAUAUUUAUAUAUAUAAAGAUGAAUAUUCUUUGUAAUUUCUACUUUACAGAUAGAAGAUUCAAUUAUUUUAGUAACAAUUUUUUAAAAUAAAUUAGAAAUUGACUAUUUCCUUAUUUAAAAAAGUAAUGUUACUGAGUAAUAAAUUAUCAUAAAAUUUAUCUUACAAGAACUAGCCAAUCCUAUACACUCAACUAAUAUUCAAUGUAAUAAAAUUAUUGCAACCAAUUUGAAGUAAAAUCUAAUUAAAAAUAAUUGAAGAAAAAAAUUCCUAAUUGCUAGUCCAAUAAAGUAACAAGUUAUUUUUAUUUUAUCUUAAAUUAAAUUAAUUUUUUAUUUAUUUUAAAAACUAAUCUAUUUUUUGUUUUAAACCAAUCUCAGUGAUCUAUAAAAGAGAGUUUAUAUGAAUACAAUCUACACAUAUUUAUGUAUACUGAAGAUAACUAUUAAAUUUAUAUAUUUUUAAAUCACUAACUUAAUCUACUUUCAAGUUGAUGUAGAAAUAUUAUACAUUAUUUGAUUCAUAAUUUCGAACCAAUCUAUAGUAGAGAAGUCAUUUUUAUCUAACUAUAUUUUUAUGAGUUAGAAUCCUAUGCCAAAAUGACUUAGUCAAGGUCUCAUUAUACCUUUUCUGUAUUUUGUUAUACAAUAGAUUUUUUUGCUAUGAAAAAAUAAAAAAAAAUCUAUAUUUCUUAAAGCUAACCAAGUAUUCUAAUAUUGGAAAUAUUUUUAAUUAUCCAAAAAAAAAAAAUGCAAUCAUUCUUAUCUUUAACUUCUACAAUUAUUUAUAUAAAUUAGAUAAGAAACAAUUUGUUUACUUCUAAGUCUUGACUAUCUUGUCUUUUCAAAAGCUUCAAAGAUGUAAUAUAAUCUCUACUGUAAUUCUUCAGUAAAAAUUUAAAUUUUUAAUAAAAUAUAAUUGACUCUAUCAUUCAUUUACCUUUUGAAACUUAUAAAUAAUAUACUAUUAUCAAAAAAAUAAUUUAAUUUUUAUUAUUUAAUUUGACUGUAUCUAUAAAAAUAUUUUUACAAGUGGAUUGUUUUUAUUGGUAUUUAACAUGUAAAUAUGUUUUGAAGCUAUAACUUAAGAAGAUGAUAUUUAUUUUAUUAUAAAAUUAAAAUUAUGUAAAUAUUAGAUUGUGUAUCUAUUUUAUUGUUUUAACUAAGUUAAGUCAAUCACAUUGAUUAGGAUUGAAUUUGUCUUUUGUAUCUAAAAAAAAUCAAAUUCUCUUUCUUAUUUAUAUUUUGGUUUAUGUUUAAUUUCCUUCAAAAAUAUUAUCACAUGAAUAAUUGAAUACUUGUCUAAUUUCUUUUUAAAAUAAUUCAUCUUAUAGUAUUUUUUAAAGCUUCACCAAUUGAACUACUAACGAAAUCUAACAAACAAAAAACUUUAAAAGUAAUAAUGAUAUAGAUACUCGAAAGUCUUAAAAAUAUGACAGUUUAUUAAGAUUUCUUAGUUAUAAUUAUCAAAUUCUUAUUUUAAUAUUUAAUCAAAUUAUUAUUUUAGUUGUAAUUUAAUCAAAUUAUUAUUUUGUUAUAUGUAAAAUUGUUUUUUUAAUAAUUUUAUAAAAAUAAAAAAAUGAAUUUUUAAUUUUUAAUUUUAAGUAAAGUUAAGUCGAUUUUGUUUGGAAAAUUAUAUCUCUCUAAUUACUAACUAAACAUAAUAUUUUUUUUAUCAUACAUGUCUUAAAGCAAUACAAGAAUAAUUCUGAGAAAAAUUAAAUAUUUUGGUAUCUUCUUGCUUAAUAGGUAUAUGUUGUAUUUUAUAAGAUUAAUAGUAGCAUGGCCUCACAAUCUAUUCAGAAAAUUAAAGCAUGCUUGUUGUGAACUUGUAUGCUUUAAGUAUAUAAACAUAGUUUAUCUGCCAAGUGCAAUACAUAUUGAAUUCAUUGUCAUAGAUAUAAAUAAAUAAAAUACAUAAAAACAAAUUUUAUUAUAUAUUUAAAUAAUAAUAAUAAUAAUCAAAUAUAUUAUACAAAGAAACAAAAGAUUUUGAAAUAAUAUAGAAAUAAAAUAGAUAUAUUUUUAACUAUAUAUAUAUAUAUAUAUAUAUAUAUAUAUAUUCUAAUAAUUAUAAAAGACAUGCAAAUACUUUUUAAGAACCAUAAGACUUAGACAAGAAGUGUUUUAAAUUCUUUCUAGACAUAGAUUGCCUUAAUAAACAUGCGGAUUUACAAAAAUAUAUAUAUAUAUAUAUAUAUAUAUAUAAAUUCAUAUAAUUUUAUAAUAAUUCUAUUGAUACAUACAAUUUAAAUUUUAUUUAUAAAGUUUUACACUGUUCUACAAAAAGAUGUUACUUAUUUGAUUUAUAUCUACUAACUUCUAAUUAUUUCUAUUUAUUUUAAUAAUAUUAAUUACAAAGUUACUAUUGAGUUGGAUUUAAUUAGAAAAAAUUAUAAUAAACUAUAGUAUAUCAAAUUUAUCUUUUGUAAAUUAUUCUGGAGAUAUUGAUAAAUACAAAAUAAAAUAUAUAAUUAAUUUAAUAAUGAUGAUAAUAAUAAUAAUAAUAAUAAUAUAUUUAUUUACCAAGCUAAGUUUUAUAUUUAUUAAGACCUAAUUUGGUAAUAUACUAAAAAUUAGAUUAUAAUUUUAAAUGGAUUCAACACUAAAUAGUUGAAUUUUAUAAUGCAAGAUAUACUAGUAUCCAAAACAUUUUAUGUGUUACACAUGUACAUUGUAAUUUGUGUCAGCAACUCAAGUUCUUAGAUUCAUUAUCUUCAAAAAAACAGUGUAUUCGUUAAUUUUGAUAUAAUCAUAAAUAAUUUUAAAAAAAAAUUCACGUAUUUUUAGUUCAAUACUGGAUAUUAUUACAGAAAUACUAAUUAUUUUAAUUAGUUUUCAGUUAUAAAUUUUUAAUUUUUAAUAUGUAUAUUGUGAAAAAUAAAGUUUAUAAUUUUAUCCUUAUUAAAUUAAUUAAUUUAGCCAAUUUUUAAAUUAAUAUGACCAACAGCUCAUAGCAUCUAAUAUAUAUAUAUAUAUAUAUAUAUAUAUAUAUGUAUAUCAAUUUUGUGUAUUCUAAAAGAUAAGAAUAAAAUAUUGUAAUAAUUUCAAUUAAAAAACCUACUUUCUAGGGAGAAAUUUGAAUUACAUAAAUAAUUUUCAGAUAUAUGCAAAAAAAAUUGAAAAAAAUAUAAAAAAUAAAUUAAAAUCAUAAGACUCAAAUAUAAUUUUUAUUUUUUUCAAAAAUAUACAAUUAAUAUAUAUAUAUAUAUAUAUAUAUAUAUAUAUAUGUAUUCAAGUAUGUAAUUGGUAUUUUUUAUAUAGAGAGAUUAGUUAAUGAUAUCAUUCUAUCUUCAAUUACAAUAUAGUUUCUUUUCUAAAGUUUUUUUAAAUAUUACAAAUAGAUACAUAUAUAUUUUUUAAAUAUUAGAUUUUAAUAGUGUACAAGAUUUUCUUUUACAUAGAAAUAAUAAUUUUUUAUAAGAGUAUAGCAUAAGAUACUUAAAAUAAUAAAAUCUAAUACACAUUAUAUAUAUUAUAAGUAGUUUUAAUAUUUUAUUAUAUAAAGUAAAUAAAUUGAAGUUGAUUUUCUUGUACAUGAUUUUCUCUAGAAACUUAUUUGAUAGUAUAUACCUUAAUAUAUUCAUGAAAUGAAAUAUUUUAAUUUUUAACAAAUUUACAUAAAACUAGUUUCAAGGGUUUAAAUUUAUUUUCAUUUUAAAUUUAAAAUAUAAUAAAUGAUUUGAAUUAUAUGUGUUCACUUAUAGAUAUUGAUUGUUUUUAAAGUCUUUCAUGCAUAUGUAUGUUAAGAAGUUAUUUGAAUCGUGUUAAAAUUAUUUUGAGUUUUUUAAUAUUUUAAAUUAUAUAAAAUUUUAAUAAUUUUCAAAGAUUUAACUUUUUUAAAUCAUUAAAAUUAAAAAGAAAAUAUUGCAUGCUAUUGUUGAAUUAAAAGUAAACUUUAAAUUAUUUUAAAACAUCUUAUCAAUUAUUGGUCCUAAGUUUGAUUUCAUAACUUUAAAUUACAUUUGAGUAAAAUAAUCAAAGAAAAGACUAUCUUUAUAACUAUUAAAUUCUUUCUAUUUAUCUAAAGUGAUAAAUUAUAGAAUGGUAUUUUUAUUGUAUUGAAAAGAAUCAAUAAUCUCAGUUUGAAUUCUAUCUUUGUUACAAUAUUAUUAGUGAUAGAAAUAGUUUAAAUAUUAUAAAACAUUUAUCAAAACAAGAUCAUGAUUCUAAAAUAUUUGUGGUUAUUACAUUCAUUAGGAUUCAUACUUAAUUUUGAAAAAUUGUUGAAAACAUAACAAAUGCUUGUAUUAAUAAUAUGUAUAAUAAGAUUAUUAAAAAGAGAAGUUGGUUUCUAAAUAAACCUUAAAGAAUAUUACAACUAGUGGAAAAUGUAUAUAUAUAUAUAUAUAUAUAUAUAUAUAUGAAAUUAAUGAUUGUAUUUUCUAAUGAAGAUUAGAUAUCUUUAAAAAUACAACUAAUAUUCACCUAAAUAUUAUUUUUGAUAUAUAGUUAAAUACACAUAAAAUAAAUGAAUAAAAACAUAACAAAUUUUUAGAUCAAUAUAAGAAAAUAUUAGAGAUAGAAACCAUUUUUUAAUUUUUAGUUUUAUUAUUUUUAAUAUAUAUAUAUAUAUAUAUAUAUUAUUUUUAAUAGAUAUAUAUAUAUAUAUAUAUAUAUUUAAAUAUUCCUUUUAAGUUUCCUAAAUUCAACUCUUGUGAAAAAUCUCUUAUAAACACUACAAAAACAUUAGAAUUAUGGAGUCAUUACUUUGAAUUGCAAUAUUUUUAAAUUUUAAAUUGAACUAAAUUUAACUUCAUAAUUAUUCAAAUUUUGUCAAACCUCUAAAACAAAAAAUAAUAAUAUAAAAAUUGUAGAAAUAAAUCAUAUUCACAUGCGUCAUAGUAAAGACCAUUCAAGAACCUUACUUGAUUGAUUUGAAUACAAUUACACUGAAAUGUUUGUUACAAUAAAUAUACCAUCUUAGUCUUUGUCUUAACAAUUAAACUCUGUUGAUAUUAUUGAUUAUACAAGACAUACUCUCCAAAAUACGACGCCAAAAAGUCUAAACUAAUCGGAGGUGUGUAUGAAAAACCUGUAAUGAGAGCUUCAACUGGCACCUCAAUACAUGCAACCCAUGCGCUGCAAAUUGUAAGAAUGUUCAAACAAAUAGACAACCUUCAGUUUAUCAUAAGUUUCCAUUCGAGGUUUUGAACAAUUGGAUUGCAAAUUCUCCGGACUUCAUUGCACUGCCGUCAUGAGUAAAUCCGUAGCUCCAAAGUCUGCUCCAUCUUUCCACAUUGUUCAGACUGAAUGAUUUCAUGUAAAAAGUUCUCUAUCUUCCCUUCUCUUCGUCUUGCAACUUAAACAGAGUUGCAAUUUUAGAUUCGAAGCAAAGUGUUGAAAUUUACAAAUCAACUGACCCCUUCAAUACCAAACCAGUGUAACAUGAUACUUUGAACACCCACUUUGAAAUGCCACUCUCGAAUAGAACUACCACAAAAAUACCGUUCUACAAACUACUCACAUCAGUUUUCUUUACCUGUAAGGUCGGAUGAAAUGAGCAAGACAAAACGAACUUAGCUUCUUCCAGUUUGUCACGGUCACUCUGAGCUUUGCAAAAACAGUGUCUUUUGUUUUUUGGUAUGCGCUAAAUAAUGGUCGUUUAAGAAGAAAGCUCGUUGUAUUCCCCCUGCAUCGAGUAACAUCACGAGGAGCAUCAGAAUAUAUCAAUAUGAUCACUUUCUCGAACAUAGACUUGGUGAAUUAUGUUGGUCGUGACCCGCUUCAAGCUCCGACAACAAAUAGAUUUCAUCUGCAACUCGCGUGCAUGACGUUGAUUAUUGCUGCAUAACGCCUCCUUUUCACUAAGUAAUAUUAAUUGAUUACUGAGAAUGUCUUGAGCCCAUCAGACGGCACUGUAAUCACUUCAUGACUUCGUGAUCUUCAUCAUGGUACAUAAUAAGAAAUCCAAGGAGAAGAGACUAGGGCUUUGUGGGAAGAUGCAACACAAUUUUAGAAUGCCGAUGUACUGCAACACUGGAAGAAGUGAAUUUAGUCUCUCGUAUUCUGUGGUUUAUAGGUCAGUCUUAGCAGCAACGGGCAUCGAAACAGGAGCAUCAUAAGCUCAUUGCUUCUCUGCCACCGACUGUGUCAUUUGGAUGCCUCACAUGAGCAUUAAUUUAGAUAAUCAGGAAGACGUCUUGAAAUGCUUGUCGAUGAUCAUAUUCACACUAGCUAUGAUUCUACAGAAGUGGCAAUCUCCAAAGCAAGUCCACAUGGUUGUUACUGAGAGAUAGAAUGCUUUCCAAAACCGCAACGGUGAAUGACCCGUAUAUUCAGAACCUACGUUUCCAUUCACAUUCUGAUGCUCUGAUUGGAACUUUGCCAAGGUGACGAUCAAUUUCUUGAGUGGUGUUCUUUUUGUUUCUUAUUACCCGGUCCUUGCAGCAGGAAUUGCUAUAUGGUGUGGCGUCAGUUUCCUGCUCAUCCCCAGCAACCACCCGAUAUCCUCAAACACACUCAAUCAGCCGUCAUUUGUACAGUGGGUGCUCCGAAAUUUUCAAUCUACGCUAACUCAGAUAAAUAAAUAAAAAAAACUAACCGCUGAGAUGCAAAAGACGAAUACCCUCCGAUGGACACCAAAUUAAGGAGCUCGUACUUGUCAAAAACCUUUGGAACAGAAUUCCCAGUUAAACCUGCUCCUGAAGUUACCCAUCGAUCCCAGCCCAUACUUCACAACGCUCCUGACCUGGCACUCACGGAAGUUUGAGCACAAUAGGGUACUAAAAUUGAAAUUUGUCUACAUAGAGAAUGCAAAGCAUCCGUCAAGAAGAUACAAAAUGCGAAUUCUGUAUCCAGACCGCAACACUAUUUAUACACCCUUUCAGUGACCCAGAACUGCGAGCAUGUAGAGGGUAUUUGAUAGAAUUGCAGUAGUAUAACGUUCCAAGAUUUCAUACCCUUCUCAACCUAUCAUACAAUGCUGGGUACAGUCUUCUCGGCAGUGAGCGUGGAGCUCAUUCAUGUGCUUAAAACUAACGCACCACCUUUCUAAGACGAACACUACUACUUCACACCUUCAGGAAUGAACCAUUGUUUCCCAACCGAGAAGACGGACACGAGCAAGGUUCAAUCCGAUAACUCAAGGAAUUAUUUUGCCCCCUCUCUUUCACGGCAGUGAGCACAACAUGAGAGAGGAAUGAAAGAGAAACGACGGCGCAUCCGAUCUGCACAUAGUGGUUUGAUUGAUCGUUUUUUAAUAAUAGGGGUUUCAAACAUGGCACUUUUGCAAAACAAAAUAAUUGGGAUUCAGCACCCGUUGUUUCCAGGAUCACUCAAAAUAUGUAAUCCAAAAUAUCACUGUUCAAUCUUUACUACCCCUUGAUAUUACCUUUGAUUCAAGAAAACUGAGGCAAGCAACAUGGUUUUUGAUAUUCGACCUAUUCCUCUUUUGAUAUUUCAAUUUCAAAAUCACCCAUGUUGCAAGGUGGGUGCUUUAGUGAAGUAUCAAGUGAUAUUUUGAAAUAUCACAAGAUACUUCAAGCUUGCAUCAAGGUUGAAAUAUCAUCCGAAAAAAACCAUGUUUAAAACUCCCUGAUGUUAAUGAGAAUAAUAUUAACAAAUAACCUCACUUUCACCUCUUAAAUACAUUUGCAAACCAACCUUCAGUAAGUUUACAUUAUUAUACAUAUGGUGUGUUAAUCCUCUAAACUCCAAAGAAUCAUGAACAAGAGUGACAUCACACAUUCAUUGUGAAAUAAAUUGAACGAAAUUGAAAGAAAAUCCCAUAAAAAAUGACGUAUACAUUAAUAAACAAACACCUUAGUUGGCUAUAUCUCAGUCAGAUUAUUCAAAAUAGCUUAAAUUGGAUUGAGAAUAUACCAAUUAUAAGCAACAACAAAAUUAGAUAUUGUUGUUAUUUUUGAAGUUAUUUCCAUCAGCACAUGUCGAAAAUAUUAAUAGCAAUGCCCAUAGGAUGGCAUGUCCAACACAUUAGUUAACAAUAGUGUUUUAUUCUUAAAACAUUCAUCACACCACAAUUUUUAUUAGCAUCCAUAAGCCACUACACAGAAUCUAACUAACAGUAAACAUAUAUUUCGAAAUAGUAAUGUGUAAACAAUUCCACCUUCAGAACAUGCAAAAACAAUACAAACUCAGUAAUAGUUGCAUGACAGCUGUCGGUAUCUAAAACCCCCCUUUCCUCGCUCUUUCCUUUCGGGCCUUCGUUUGGGGAAAACCAAUUUUCCUUUUCUUUUUCCCUUUCCGAGAAAGGCACCGAUGGCGUGUGACGUGGCCACCUUGCUUAUCGCUCCUGCCAAAGAUGCCACGCGGGACCACUCCACGUGGAACUUAUGACGUGGAUAAUGAUGUGGUCGUCCAACUAGGAUAACUUGGCGACGUGGAUGCCAGCACAGCACAGGACAACCAUAAACUUUCUUUAAUUACCCGGAUUAGUGGGCCAGCCUAGUUACUUUUAAAAAGUCGCCGUUCACACGGGAAGCGCCGGUGGGGACCAGCCACACCGGACCCGACUCAACCCGACCCGAGUCGGCCCCGCAUUGUUAAGCGUGCAACGUUAAGGGUAUCAAUCAAUGAGUCAAACAUCUCCCCGGAUACGCGAUGAUCACAAGCUUUGGAUGGACUGGACCACAAGAGCUCUGAGAUGUACAUAGAGCAUUAAAGAGCAUUCAAGUGCAUUAGAGUGAUGCUGUCUGAAUAUUCGUUGUUGAGGGAGUGUGUUGUUUAAACCACAAUUUGAUGAAUGACGGUAGAAAUUAUGGAAUGAAUGAAAUAUAUCAUAUAAAUAUGUGUGUGUGUGUGUGUGUGUUUAUUUUAAUAGUAGUUUAUAUUUAAUCUCUAGUGUUACAUUAUUGUGGCAUAAACUAUGACGAGAAAUGUGGUUUGUUGGACAGUCACAUAAACAAUAAUAUCCUGACACGAAUACAUCAAUUGUUGACAAUUAGGUAUGAACUAUGCCCAUCUACCAAGAAAAUUAAAGAAUACAAAAUAGGUGAACUUAAACGUAGAUAUAAUUUUGAACAAAUUGUAUGCAUGUAUGUAUGUGUGUGUGUACGUGUAUGUAUAUAUUGAUAAUAAAAAAUUAAGAACCUUAAUGUAUCACCACGUAUAAUUUAGGGCAUGGGUAUUAUGGUACCCAGUUCCAAACACUUUAAGAUUGUAACCCUUGGGAAUACAACUAAAUACUUGUGCAUAAGUUCCCAAGUUGAAUUCCCACCCUCAUGGUUAGAAAGAGCCUUAAAAGUUAUCAAAAUAUUGGGGGUUGUUGGGGAGCACCAAAAUAAUUUUUGGUGAUGAUAAGUUACCCAUUCUAAUUUCAAUGUAAAUUAUUUAUAUUUGCAAAUAAUUAAUGUGUACAUAAAGUGUUCUCUCUUAGCAUCCAUAAGCACCCUUUUUUCUAGUUACUAAAAUUUUUAGUUUUAUCUGUGUAUACAUAUGUACACACAUAAGUAUGUGAACUUAAAUGUUUUGAUAAUAUUAUUUUUAGGCAACAGCUUAGCAAAAGAAUUUGUUCACAAAGUUCUUAUUUUGAAAUAAUACAUCAAAAAACUUGCAAUCAAAGGAACCACAAUAUUGAAAACCUUUUCUUCUUUUUUUUGUUCAAAUUCUCUCUAAAAUUCAAUAGAACCACUAAUGUUUCCAUUCAAAAUUUGAAGCACUUCCUAUCAAGGGGUUUCAAACAUGGCACUUUUGCAAAACCAAAUAAUUGGGGUUCAACACCUAAUAUUUCUAUGAUAAUUCAAAAUAUCAGAUCCAAAAUAUCACAAUUCAAGCUUUAUUGUCCCUAAUAUUACCUCCUGAUUCAAACUUUAAUACUCCUUGAUAUGGAGUCAAAGAGGGAAGAAAGUUGAAGCAAACAAUGCAGUUUUUUAUAUUUGACUAUAUUUGACCAUCCCCUCAUUUGAUAUAUCAAUUUCAGAAUCACCCACUUCACAAGGUGGGUGAUUUGGUGAAAUAUCAAAUAAUACUCUAAAAUAUCACAAGAUAUUUUGAGCUUGCAUCACGGGUGAAAUGUCACCCAAAAAUGCCAUGUUUGAAACCUCUUAAUAAAAAUUUCUGUAAAAUGCACUUUUGAGCAAGUCUAGUUGUUCUGACUAAAAAUUCAGUAAACCACUUAGUACUUACAAACAGUUAACCUGGAAUGUCUGCAGUCCUAUCUUUGUGAAAUAAACAAGUCAACAACUGUAAACUAUUUUUUAUUAUAAAAUUUUUGGUAUUCAUUUAUUUUUAUCUGGAGUUCUUUGUUUUGCAUUUGGAGCUUUCCAUGUAACAGGCUUAUUUGGCACUGGUAUUUGGGUAUCCGAUCCUUAUGGAUUAACUGGAAAAGUACAACCUGUUGUUCCAGCUUGGGGAGCUGAAGGUUUUGACCCUUUUGUUCCAGGAGGGAUAGCUUCUCACCAUAUUGCAGCAGGUAUUUUAGGUAUACUAGCUGGUUUAUUCCAUCUUAGUGUUCGUCCUCCUCAACGAUUAUAUAAAGGAUUACGUAUGGGGAAUGUUGAAACUGUUUUAUCUAGUAGUAUUGCUGCUGUAUUUUUUGCUGCUUUUGUUGUUGCUGGAACUAUGUGGUACGGUUCUGCUGCAACUCCAGUAGAAUUAUUUGGCCCUACUCGUUAUCAAUGGGAUCAAGGUUUUUUUCAACAAGAAAUCGAUCGUCGAAUUCGUGCUAGUAAAAGCGAAAAUUUAAGUUUGUCAGAAGCUUGGUCUAAAAUUCCAGAAAAAUUAGCUUUUUAUGAUUACAUUGGUAAUAAUCCAGCUAAAGGUGGAUUAUUUAGAGAGGGUGCUAUGGAUAAUGGAGAUGGAAUAGCUGUUGGAUGGUUAGGUCAUGCUGUUUUUCUCACUAUAAUAAAAUCUAUGGAAGCAUUGGUUUAUACAUUUUUAUUGGUAGGUACUUUAGGAAUAAUCUUUUUUGCUAUUUUUUUUCGUGAACCACCUAAACUUCAAACUAAAGAAAAAAAAUAAUUUUUUAUUUUGAUAAAAAAUUACGAACCUUCCCUUUUUAUUUUAGGGAAGGUUUUUAAUAAUUAAUUUAAUCUUCAUGCUCUUCAAAAGGAUCUCUAAGUUCUUUAGAGGGUUGCCCAAAAGCUGUAUAAAGAGCAUAGCCAGUAAAACUUACGAGUGAACACGAUAUAAAUAUAGCGACUAAUGUUGCAGUUUCCAUUUUUAAGUAGUUCCAAAAGAAUGGUUUAUUUUUAAUUAAUAUAAUAGUACACAAAGUUAACAAAUCUCAACUAAUGCAAUAAAAUUUUAUGGCUACACAAAUUAUUGAUGAUACUCCUAAAACAAAAGGAAAAAGAAGUGGUUUAGGAGAUAUAUUAAAACCACUUAAUUCAGAAUAUGGUAAAGUUGCUCCUGGAUGGGGUACAACACCUUUAAUGGGUGUUGCAAUGGGAUUAUUUGCUGUUUUUUUAGUUAUUAUUCUUGAACUUUAUAAUUCUUCCGUAUUAUUAGAUGGAGUUCCUGUAAGUUGGUAAUAACUUAAAAAGGUUCAAUAAAAAAGUUUAAACUUUUUUAUUGAACCUUUUUAAGUUAUUACCAACUUUAUUUAUUUACUAAAGGUAGUUUAAUCGUGUAAUCAAUUAAUUAAAGGAUUUAUGGAUUAUGGGUGUGCGACUUGGUUAGAUAAAUGAAAUUUAAAAAAGACAAAAUAAUUUGUUAAUCUUAAAAAAAAGAUAUUUUAUUUUAUUAAAUGUUAAUAAAUUUAAUAUUUAAAGCAUAAAUUUCAAUUAAAAUAUUAGCAAUUUUUUUUUAAUUUAAACUAUGAUUAAUUUUUUUAAUUUACUAUUUAAAUUUCGUUACCAAAUUUAAGUGUUUUUACUCUUUAAAAGUUUAUAAUGAUUUUAAAAAUUAUUUACCUAUUAUAAUUUUUUUUUAGUCAUCGGAAUAUAGUAAAAAUCUAAAGUUUAAUUAUUUUUAAUAAAUUUUAAACAAGAAAAUCUUUAAAAAAAAAUUAUUCAUUUUAAAGAAGAAGAUCGCUCAAAAAAGCAAUUAAUAUAAAAAGCUAACUUGAGAUAAAAUAUAAAAAAUAUAUAAAAAUUUCGAUUUAUAUAUAUAUACUUUUUUAUUUUUAAGCCGUAUGAAAAAAAAUUAUCAUUUACGGUUUGUAGAGAGGAAAUACAUAAAAGUUUGUCUAUCUCAAUAGAGUAUACGAUUGGUUUGAAGAACGUCUUGAAAUUCAAGCAAUUGCAGAUGAUAUUACUAGUAAAUAUGUCCACCACAUGUGAAUAUAUUCUAUUGUUUAGGAGGCAUCACCUUAACUUGUUUUUUAGUUCAAGUAGCAACUGGGUUUGCUAUGACUUUUUAUUAUCGUCCAACUGUUACUGAAGCUUUUGCAUCUGUUCAAUAUAUCAUGACUGAAGUUAAUUUUGGCUGGUUAAUUAGAUCAGUUCAUAGAUGGUCCGCGAGUAUGAUGGUUUAAUGAUGAUUUACACAUAUUUCGUGUUUAUCUUACAGGGGGUUUCAAAAAACCUCGUGAAUUAACUUGGGUUACUGGUGUUAUUUUAGCAGUAUUAACAGUUUCAUUCGGUGUAACUGGAUAUUCUUUACCUUGGGAUCAAAUUGGUUAUUGGGCUGUUAAAAUUGUAACAGGUGUACCUGAAGCUAUUCCUGUUAUAGGCUCACCUUUAGUAGAAAUAUUAAGAGGAAGUGUUAGUGUAGGUCAAUCUACAUUAACUCGAUUUUACAGUUUACAUACUUUUGUAUUACCACUUCUUACUGCAGUGUUUAUGUUAAUGCACUUUUUAAUGAUUCGUAAACAAGGUAUUUCAGGUCCUCUAUAAAUUAUUAGAAUAUAAUUUUUACUAAAUUUUGCUGACAUAAUAAAUUUUUAAUAGUAAAUUUUUACUAUUAAAUUUUUAUUAUGAACUAAAUUUAUUUAUUGCCAUAAAUUAUUUUUAGUUUAACGCUUAAAAAAAAUUUAUGGAUUUUCUGUAUUUUAUUUAAACAUUUAAAUAAAAUAUAUCUUUAUUUAAAAAAAAAUUUUAAUUAUGGGAGUGUGUGACUUGAAUUAAUUAUUGACUAUGUAGAUUUUUUAUUUAGUCUACCACAUUAAUUAUAAAAUUUAAAUGUGUUGUUAUCCUAAAUUAUUUUAAUAAAAAUAAAAAAACUUAGGUAAAUUUUUUUAAACAAAUUUUUUUCUAUGAUUUAUUUUCUAAAUAGGCUUCAUAAAAUUUAAUAAAUAAUUAAUAUAUGUAUAUCUGUAUUAUUUCUAUAUGAUAUAUAUUAAAAUAAUGUGAUAAAAAACAUCAUUCAUUUCCGUUGGGUUUUUUAAUAUAAAAAUCAUAGGAGUAAAAAAAAAAUCUAAGGAAAAAAAAAGUUAAUAUACUAACAAGUUAAGUUUAAAUAAGUACAAAAUUUUAUAGAUAAUAAAAAAACUUAUAAAAACUAAGACUAUCCAAAAUGCAUAUUAUAAUAAAUUAAUUAUAAAAAAAUUUCAAAAAAGCAUACUUGGAUUUUGAACUUUUUUAAAUAAAUAAAAUUUAAAUAAAAAUAGUUUGAGUUGGAUGAAUAAAAAAUUCAUGUCCAAUUCUUUAAGGGGAAUAUUUUUUAAAUAGCCUAUCUUAAUAACAAAAAAACCUGAUUUAAGUGACCCUGUUUUACGAGCUAAAUUAGCUAAAGGUAUGGGUCAUAACUAUUAUGGAGAACCUGCUUGGCCUAAUGAUCUUUUAUAUAUUUUUCCAGUUGUUAUUUUAGGUACUAUUGCAUGUACUGUAGGCUUAGCUGUUUUAGAGCCUUCUAUGAUUGGUGAACCAGCAAAUCCUUUUGCAACUCCUUUGGAAAUUUUACCUGAAUGGUACUUUUUUCCAGUUUUUCAAAUACUUCGCACAGUUCCUAAUAAAUUAUUAGGUGUUCUUUUAAUGGCUGCAGUACCUGCAGGCUUAUUAACAGUACCUUUUUUGGAAAAUGUAAAUAAGUUUCAAAAUCCUUUCCGUCGUCCAGUAGCAACAACUGUUUUUUUAAUUGGUACUGUAGUAUCUAUUUGGUUAGGUAUUGGAGCAGCUUUACCUAUUGAUAUAUCAUUAACUUUAGGGCUUUUUUAAUAUUAGACUAAUCUAAUAGAUUCUUUUUUUUAUUAAUUAAUUAGAGUAUUUACUUCAAAGUAAAUACUCUAAUUAAUUAAUAAAAAAUAAUUUUUUUAAAUUUAAUUUAGUUAUUUUUUUAUUUAUUAAAAAAAAAUAGAAAAAGACUUGAUUAAAAAAAAUUUAAGUAAUAUAAUCAUAAAGUGAUUAUAUUAAUUUGUUUAACUAAUAAAAAUUUAUUAAAUAUUAAUUUUUUUUUUUAUAUUUUUUUAAACAAAAAACGGCGACAUGGCCAAGUGGUAAGGCAGAGGAUUGCAAAUCCUUUACCCCCAGUUCGAAUCUGGGUGUCGCCUAAAAAAGUAAAUUUAUUAAAAAGAGUUGGAUUAACUACUAUGUCAUGUUUUAAAUAAAAACUGUAUUGCUCUAUAAUUUACUUUAGCCUAGUACUUUUUUUUUAUUUAAACGCAUUAUUAAUAGAUAAUCCUAACAUUAAGAAUAAAUCAAAUAAAUAAAAAAAGCAAGUCUUUUAAUAUUUACAUACUAACUAUUUAUCUAUAUUUCUUAUAAUAAAAGAAUAUGAUAUAUAUAUAUGUAUGUAUAGUCUUUUUUUUGUUAUAAAUACAAAAACAUUAUAAAAAAAUAAUUUUUUAUUUAUUUUUCUUAUAAGUAUUAUUUAUAAUUAAUUUUUAUUUUAACAUUUAUAAAAACAUAUGGAUAUAGUUAAUAUUGCUUGGGGUGCUUUAAUGGUAAUGUUUACAUUUUCUCUUUCACUUGUCGUUUGGGGAAGAAGCGGAUUAUAAAAAUUAGAUUUAAAAUUUAAUGUUUUUUUUAUUUUUAUAUUUUUUUUAUUAAAUAUAAAAAUAAAAAAAAGCAUUAAACUAAUUAGAUUAUACUUUUACUAUUUAAUAAAUUAAUUUGUAUAAGAAAUAAAAAAAGUAUAAUCAAUUUUUUCCCACCCUUUAUAAAAUUUUUUUUUUAAUUUUAUUUUUUGAUAAUUUUUAUUUUUCUUUAAGUUUUUUUUUUGUGAAAUAAAAUAAUUAUUAUUUUUUUUAGAAAAAAUAGUAAAAUUUAAUUUAUUAUUCCGUAAGUAUAACUUUCUACUAUAAAAAAAAUGGCAGUUCCACUUAAAAGUAUUUGUGAUAAUAAAAGAAUUGGAUCUAAUCGCCAACCUUGAAAAAUAAGAAUCCCUCCACAUAAUAAUCCAAUUGAUGAAAAAAAUGAAUCAUAAUAUUAAGAUAGGUUAAUGUUUUUAUUUAUAGACAUGACCCUCUUAAAAACCAUACAUGAUAUUUUAAUUUCUUUAUGGCUUAAACAUUAAAAUGAAAAAAAAACCUUAUAAAAUUUAAAUGUUCUAAAUCCAAGUAAGUUUAAAAAGAAUUUUGAAAAAAAAAACUUUUUGGAUUGUCUUUUCUUGUUUGAUUUUAUUUUUACAACAAGUUUAUUUUAUUUAUACUUAAAUUUAUUUAACAUUAUCCUUAGGCUCAUUUUAUAUUUCAUGGAUUUAAUUAUUUUUAUUUCUAAAGAUAUAAAAAUAAAAUUAAAUAAAAAAAAAUAAAUUAUUUUUAGUUGUUAUUUAAUUAAAGUUCCAAUUUUCUUUAAUUUAAAAUUUAAGCAUGUUUUCGAAAUAAUGUUUUAAUUAUGUUCAAUUUUUAGCCAUAGAUUUUUUGAUAUAAUUUUAAAUUUUAUUUCAAGUUUUCUAUUUAUUAUUUAUUGUUAAUUUUGUUAAAUAGAAAUAAUAGAAUUAGCAAAAAAGCUGUUUGUACAUAAAGAAUUAGCAAAAAAGCUGUGGGGAUUAAAAUGAACAAUGCAGUAGCAAUAAAUGCAAGAAUAUUUACUUCCAUAUGUUUAUUAUAUUAAUGUUUAGUUUACAAUACUAAAAAAUAUCAUCUGAUUUUAUUUAUAAAUUUUUUAUUAUCAGUUUAAUUAUAAAAUUAAGCAGUUUAAUCAAAAUAUUUGAAAUCAAAAGAAUAUGAUUUUAUUUUUUUGAGUUUACAGGUUUAGGGUUUAUGUAAAUUUACACGUUUUUAUAAUAAAUUUGAAUUUAAAACAUAAUGAAACUAGAUAUCAUAUGUACGUUUUUUCAAUGAAAAUUUGCACUAGACUAUCAGUUCUUUGUGUAAAAUAAUGCAAAUUUUGAUUGUGAUUAUUUAUCCAAAACUAGUGAAUUCUUUUGUAUUUAGUAUUUAAUGUGCAUUUCACGUUGUUCUACAAUUCAUAUUCAAAACUUAGCAAUGAUUAUAAUUGGUAGUAUAUUGUGGCUGUAAAUGUAAAAUAAUUGCUAACAGAGAACGUAUGCAAAAAAAACAUGUACAUUGUUCGUCUGGACUUGUACAAGCACCGAUUUUAUAAUAAUAAAAAAUGUAGUUAUUUUAAUUCUUAAUUCUACUUUAAUAUAAUAAAAAUUAUCUAAAUUUGCUUCCAAUGUUCUAUGCCUACAGAAAAUUAUGUUGUUCUUUUUUGAGCAGAUCCAGGAUGGGAAACAUGAUAAAUACUUCAUCUAAUUGAUCUACUAACACAAGUGUGGCAUCUCAGAGAUAUCACAUGUAGAGGCUUAUAAAUAAUAUUAAAAGAAUUAAUCUUACAUAGAAGGCAAAAAUCUUCAUAUGUAUCAUCGUCAUUAUGAUUAAAAUGUUGCUUUUAACUAUUAUAGUAAAACCUUUAAAAAAUCAAAAUUGUAUAUGUAUGUAUAUAUAUAUAUAAAUAAACAGACACAUCAACACAAUUUCAUGAAAUUGCACUGAAUUGUAUAGUUGAGUUACUAUUGUAAAAAUGUGAUAAACAACCAAUUACUUCUGCAAUUGUCAGUGUUAUGUUCAAGGAAGUGAUAAUCAGUUCAAGAUUUUAAAGACAAUAAUAAUUUGAAGAUCUCACGAACACUUUCCUCUUCAGGAUAAAAAUAAAUAUGAAUCAUUAAAAACCAGAAGCAGGUAGUGCAUAAUAAUUUUACAUUUAAAGAAAACGUUUAACAAAAAAACUACAUUAUUGCUUUAAAAGUAAUAUAUUCUGUUUUUUAGUCAUCUUCUUUUUGUAUACAAUAAUGCAUGUGAUGGUUUUUGGGGGUUUUGUUAUUACUAUUGUAUUUGAAUAGGCACAAAGAAACAUAUUUGUUAUUACAGAUAUUGAUUCACUGUAUUUAAUUUUAUUUAAAGAAAAUAACAGUAACAAUGGUUGAUAUAUAUAUAUAUAUAUACAUAAACAGAACUGGCUGUUGUAAUGAAUAAUGAUCUUGGUUUGCAGAAUUUUAAAAUUUAUUUGGGUGUUUUGCCACAAAAUUGAACAAGUUUGAUUUUCAAGCUAAGAUCAUUUUAAAAUAGUAAGAAAAUGACCAUCGCAGGGGAACCUUAUCAACUUUUAAUUGAAAGGAUCUCAUGAAAUUGAGGAUUUUACUAAACAAAAAUGUAAUGAUAGGUGAAGAAUAUCCUCAACAUUCAUUUGUUUGUUUAUUCAAUGUUUUACAAUAAAUGAAAUUAAUAUGCUACACUAUAAUUCCUUAAACGCACACUAUAAACGAUUAAGAUAUUAUCUAUAGAAAUGCAUUAUUUGGACACACCUUUCAUUAUUUAGCCUUUCAUAGACGAAUAGAGCACGAGGACAAUUAAAUGGAUGAAUGAAAAUACAUAUAUGGAUGAUAAAAGAUGGAUGAAAUACCAGGGUGGCAGAAAAUGAUUUCCCGCGCACACGCGGGAAAGGAACUUGCGAUGAAGGAACGGAAAGUCAACUUCAAUGGAACACACGACGAGGCCACACGGCACUCCAAGACCUCCACGUCAUUCAUCCAUUCGCUUUAGUGGUAAAGCUUGAUUAUGGUCACACUGUUGAAAAACGUUCACGAAAGUAAAAAGUAUGAAAAAGUAUAUAAAAAGAUGUUACUUUUAGAAGAUAGAUUCGGUUUCAAACCCUACUUUGAUUGCCAUGUAGGGUUUGAAACCGAAACUAUCUUCUAAAAGAUUUUGGUAUUCAAUUCGCACAAUUGUAUUCUUAUCCUCACUAGCAAUGGGGACGAAUCAACAUGUUGUAUGCUUACAAUUCUUUAAACGUCAAAAAGCAUGACACAAUGCAAAAAGAUGACAAGUAGUAGUAAAAUAUUAUUUCUAAACGUGCCUGUGGAUGUUGUUCGAUAAAUAUUAAAAGAAAUAAACUACACCAUGUUGUUGUUUAAUAAAAAUGAUAUACUUUUGUUUUGAUAAGAAUGGAAGAUUCGAAACUUGUUUUUUACGUGCACUUUUAUGUUCACAACGUGGAGCCAGAGAAAAUAUGUUUUGUGGCUGUUAGCAAUGAAGGUACUCAUUUUGAAAACAUUUUUUAAAAAUACUACUUGCACAGGAAAUAUUGAUUUUAUGAUUUCAACAUUGAAUUCUGUAGAAAUUUACAAAAGCAAAAAAAUGAAAAUGUCAGAACAAGAUUUGAAUAAUUUUAUUCAUUUAACUCAGUCAUACCUCUCGUGGUUGCUUAGGGUUUCAUGUGGGCAAUAUUCAAACAUAAAAAUGAACUAACAUUAUUUUUGAAUUUGCUAUCGUGUAUUAUAACAUGGUCACGUUGCUGUAUAUGGGAUAAAAAUGCACAAUUUCUAUAAUUGUCUUAGCAUGUUACAACAUAAUCUAGUCCUGUAUUUUAAUUUAAUAUAUUAAAUCAUUACAAAUUCAAAUCAGUAAAAAAGUAAAAUAAAGACAUACUUAACUUAUCAAAAAAACUAAUUGAAGGUAAAAGACGUACAAAUACUCCUGCAAAAUAAACCGAACAAUUUCGAUAUUAUGGGGUAAACAAUAGUUACAAAAGAAGAGAUACGAAUAUACACGAACGUACACACCCAGAUGGAGGAUCGCAUACGUACAAGUUCGUAUAAAUACGACACAUAUCACACACUCUCUGGGCCCGAAAGGAGCGAAAUCGAGCCCUCCACGUCAAACACUGCGCGCCAAAAGAGGAGACGGAUGGGGAGAGUGAGCUGUCAAGGAUCGGACGGAGAAACGGAACCAGGGCAGAUCGGACGGUUUAGAGAGGGGGCAAGGGGAGCGGGACUAGGGCUUGGCCCGUCCAGCUAGGAUGGGAUGAGGGGGGACGGGUAUGGGGGCUCUCCACCGUGGUCAGCGUCACAUCAGCGCCAUUUUGCCUUGUAGGACCAGCAAACUGGUGAUGGUGUGCUGCCCCUCGCGAGAUAGUUUUCGUGGCACAGACAAGUCGACGGAAACCAAACAGGACGGAAGAGACGGCAAGUCGUCGACGACGUCGACGGAGUUUGUGAAACGUUCAUGCAGGUGACGCACGGAGCGAAGCCGCUGCGCCACGCUUCCCGUCGGUGAGUGACUCGACUGACGCAAAGCUUGCUUGGUUUGUUGCAUCCAUUGGUGAAGAGAGAGAGAGAGAGAGAGAGAGAGAGAGAGAUAUAGGGUGAGCGAUGGUGGUUCAGGGGCAGUAAGAGGGAUUUUGCAGACGGGAAAGGGAGGACGUGGAAGGUCCAUUUGUCUUUUUCCGUUCGGUGUCUCCUCCUUCUGCGGCUUGUCUGGCUUGCUUGGCUAGUUCGGGCCUCCAGCCGGUUCCACAUGGUCUCUCAGUAUUGCUGCCUUGGCACACUUCGUUGCCAUUUCAUCUCCCGACUCUGCCAACUCUGCAUACUCGGCAACGCGUAGGUAUGCAUGUGUGCCACUCGGGUCGAGUGUCAUGUUCAACCCUCCCCUCCUCUCAUGUUGCCAGAUCUUCGUUUGUCGGUGUAUAACCCUCGCUUGUCCUGUCGUCUUGAUGCUAUUGUAGUGAAUAUUGUCCGGGGGUGGGUAUUUGUUUUCGGCGGUGCUUUUGUUGCGCUGUUGGUAUUGGUAUGUUGUUGUGUGUAGUCCGUUUCGAUGAAGUGCUAGAUAUUUGUAGCAGCUGGUGUUUGUAACAAUAAGGUGUUGCUGCGGUUUAGCUACUACGAUCCCUACGUGUGGCAUGUGUACGAAGCACAUCCGCCGCUUGCACUGCGGCUUUAGAGCUUUCUUUGCACCGUUGUGUGCGCUCUUGAAAAAACAAUCGAUGAUGUGGUUUGGACGAAGAGGGUCCGCACAGACAGGGGACAAAUUAAAAAUCGUAUAGGGAUUAAUGUGCGAGGUGAAACUUAAGCAAGAUGGUGAAGUAGCCGCAAAACGGCGGGAUGGGAGUUCUCCCGCCAACAUCGAAGCCGAGCUUUCGCACACCAAGCGUGCGCGCAGAUGUAGUGCUCAUUUCUCCCUACCCUGCUGCCGAGCUUCUCUCAGAUGAUUCAUUCUUGAGCAGUGUAUCAUUUGUCUCUCAACCGCAGGUUACAGGCCUUGAUGUCAACGUCAUGACCCGAGGAGCUUCCUGACAGUCAGUUUCGCGAGUGAGUGUUUCACGAAUUCUGAGAACAAAAAUUCGGAGUCGGCCGAGGUCUGAAGACGCACACCAGUGAUGGGGGCAGCAGGGGAGACGGCAACAGCCCCACCCGCCGCCUCCAAGGGUCCGAAGACCAGCAGCGGUCCUCCCACAUCAGGUGCGACGACGUCCCCGACGCCCAUUGCGUCGCAUGACCCGAACGCGCAGGCAGGCGCGGCGGGGUACAAUGAAUGGUUGGCAGCGUUCCAGGCGUACUACCAGGCGGGAGCACAACCUCCCGCGGGAGGGUUUCCGCACCCCUACAUGUGGGGAGGGCAGCCCAUGAUGCCGCCUCCCUACGGGGGGCCGCACCCUUCUUACGGCGCCAUGUACCCUCCCGGAGGAAUGUAUGGGCACCCGAUGUACGGGCAGUACGGGACUCCGACGCCGGAUGGAAUGGCGGGCGCGGAGCAGGGCGCGGACGGGAAGGCGGAAGCGAAGGGGAGCGAUGGCGGUAAAGCGGCACCUUUGAAGAGAUCGAAGGGCAGCAAGAGCAGCCUGCAGCUACUGAAAGUGAGCGACAGUGGAGGCAAGGGGAACGGGGUGUCGCAGAGCGUGAGCAAUGGCGAGGAAGGAGAGCACGACGGCGAGACGGGGAGCGACGAGGGCGGUUCGACGGAUGCGAGCAGGGAGGAGAAUGCGCAGAACCUGUUGGGAGGGAAGCGGAGUUUCGAGCAGCUGGCGAUGGAAGCCGUGGGAGCUCCGGCUUACAUGGGCACUCCGGGCGGCGCAGCGGGGGUUCCAGGGGGUGCAGUGGGGACGCCAGGGCCAGGAGGAAGCUUGGACAUGAGCUUGGACUACUGGACUGCAGGGUCAGUGCCGCAGGCGAAGGGGGCAAUGCGGGCGUCCGGGAGCCCGUCGACGAGCGCUCCGCCAGCGGAGAUGUGGCUGACGGACGAGAGGGAGGUGAAGCGGCAGAGGAGGAAGCAGUCGAAUCGAGAGUCUGCGAGAAGAUCGAGAUUGAGAAAGCAAGCGGAGUGUGAGGAGCUGGGCAUGCGAGUUGACUCGCUGACUGUAGAGAACGUGUCCUUGCGGACGGAGUUAAGCCGGAUGACCGAGGAGUGCAAGAGGCUGCAGGCGGAAAACAGCAGCUUGAUGCACAAGGUGCGUGGCAUAUCAGGUGCGGAGAUGGGUGGUGCGGCGGGUUCCGGCGAUGUGGCCUCGGCAGGCGGAGACAACGAGGCAGUGGUGUCAGCAAAGGAGAUCGAGGAGUCUCAGAGCAACGGGAACGGGCACGCGACGAAAGCAAGAGACGAGAAGUCAGGCGGUAAGGGGAACGGGAGUGUCGAUGUAGGGGUGAUUGAUCGAUGGAUUGGUGGACCGGGGGUUUUGUAGGAUGUGGGGUGUGCAGUGUUGAUUGGGUGGUGGAAGCUGUGGAUAGUGUUGGCGGUGGGGACUGGUGAGGAGGGUGUGAGAGGAGAGCAUUGAGGCGUAGAGAAGCGUGAGGAAGUGUUGCGCAUUUGGUGGGUGAAAGCGCGCAGCGGGCGUGGGAAAGGACGAUGGGGUUGUGAAGGUUUGUUUAUAGUUUUGGGGUGGUGGUUGAGGCUGGAACGCAUGUGUUGGGGCGUUGGUGUUAUGGUGGCGGCGUGCAGACGCGGAGGGUGAGGGGGUUGUUGGGAUGGAAAGGUCGGACAGUGAUGGGGAGUGACGCGGUGCAUUGGGGUGGGGCGCAGGGGUGAAAGGUCAAGAGGAGGCGGGUGCGGCUGCAUAGGCGUGGAGACAUUGGGUGGGGGGCGGGGGUGAUAGGAAUCGAUUUUGGUAUUUUGGGUGGGUUAUGUAGGAAGCGGUGACGGAAAGAAGUGGUGACAACCCUGCACAAACAUUACAAUUCUUCAAGGGAUGGGCGCGUCCUGUUCAAGGGGUGGUUGGUGACUGGGAGUGGGUGAAGUGAAGAGAGAAUUUCACUGGUGCUGCGCUGGUCCAGCAUUCUUUGGGAGUAGCAGGGAACGCUCGGCUUGAUGUUUUUAGGAUAGUGGUAGUUGGUGCGAUUUUGUGGUGCCAUGCUUGAGUGACGGGAGUUGGCUGUGUACAUUUGGAUACUCUUUGAACAACGGUGGUUUCACUGAAAGUUGAGAGUGAACAUGGGUUGGAAAUUAUAUGCGAGCGUUAUUUGCAGGCACAUGAUUACUCAGUCUUCACAGUCAUGUGCUUUAUAUUGGGUUCAAUUCGGAUAUUAGCUUUAGGGGUUAGACACAUCCUUCUCAACAAUUUCUUUGUCCAGGUCAUUGCACUUCAGCAGUCGGCAUUUGUAUCUAUCAUUUCAUGGAUUGGGAAAUUACUUAUCGAUUUAUUUUCAUUAUUCAAUUUGUUUACCUCGCAUGUAUUGUGGUGGUUUUCUUUUAAUUAAGCUCUUUUAGAAUCAGUAGUUUGCUAUGAUGAGUUGGUUUAUUCUUUGAUUGCAACGCGUCUCUGAUCUCAAAUGGUCAUCUGUUCAUUAGGCAAGGAUCUAAUUGUUUUUAUUUUUGCUUUCUCCAUCGCGCAGCGAUUCAAUCUGAAUUAUUAGUAUGCAGGGGUUUGUUACAAGCUUUUUGAGAUACCUCUUUCAGUUCAUUGGACAAGAAAUUUAGAAGCUGAAGAUGACGAUGUUGAUUACCGUAAUUGUUCUGGUUUCUGUUUUUGAUGACACUUAACUUCGCAACUUUGCGGGUCUAAGGUUGUGUCACGUCCUUGUUGCAUAUCGGCCGUGAAUGUUGACUGCAGCGAGCAUUGAAAGAUCGUAUGGCACUAUGUGAUGCACCUGCUAUGCCUGGGUGUAACAUUGACCUACAUAUUCUGGCGCUGCGGGAUGUUUUAUAGCGUAUAGUGACUUUUUCAUAGCAGUCUUGAUACGUCGAGACUGUAACCUCCAUCAAGAUCACUGCAUGAUUUUCAGGCGUGAGGACAUGAUGGAUAAUUGGACUGCAGUUUAUUAUCUCUUGCACUUUUGCGAAGUUAAGUGUGAAACUAACCCUGACAAGCCUUCACCGAUGCUACGUCGACACUGGUCACAGCUUCGCUGAAUAUUUUGUGACGGGUUGAGAAAUGGAGUCUUUUUGUGAAGAAACUGAUUCUCCAGACAUUUGACCACAGGAAUGAAAUGAUUUUAAUUGUGUUAAAAGUCGGAUGCUUUCGGCAGUAUCAUCAAGGUAUCCUAUAAAGUUACAUAAAAAGCGUGCCAGUCGCAUUCGUCAAUGACAAAUAGACGUCACAAUAGGACUACUUCCUGCGAUUGGUAAAAUUAAUUGAGACUCAUAACUGAAAUGAGCAAGCCUUCCUGCGAUUGGUAAAAUUAAUUUUGAGACUCAUAACUGAAAUGAGCAAGCCUUCCUGCGAUGGGUAAAAUUAAUUUUGAGACUCAUAACUGAAAUGUGCAAGCCUUCGUGCUCAACAACUAGCAUGGCUUACAUGCAGAUUAGCUGUCCAACAAGAAUCGAAUGUUCCAAGGCUUGAGAGAAACAGUUUGACUGUAAUCAACAAACCCUAGGGACAGACAAGAUGCUUCAAAAUCUUAGCCAUUUCCGCUCCUUUUCCUUGCUGUUAACUGCAUGCGUUGUGGUGGCAUGAGCCGCUUCAGCAGAUGCCAAGGCUUUCCGAGCCUCUACUAACUUUCGGCCAACAGCCUCAUAUACAACUUUCUCCUUGCGGUUCCGAGUAGCCAUCUCCUGCAAUUUGCUAACUUUGCUACGAAGCUCCUUAAUUUCAUCUUCAUGAGCUACUAUUGUUUGCCGAUUGGCCUUCUCUAGUGACUGCUUAUCACUGACUGAUCCACUACAGUUGGUUUGAGAACCACCAGGCCUAACCUUACUGGAUUUAGUAGCUGAAACCUGUUGACCAGUGAGAUGAUGAUUGAUGAAGUCAAAAACAUUUCGAGUUUCUUCAAUAACCUCCAUUUUGGACUUGGCUGCUCUUUGUGCGUUAGCCCACUUUUGAUCACGCUUCCUCUUCCCACCCCUGGACUUUUUUUUUUUAGCAGUCUUUUCAGCGUCCCCUUGUUCUCCAUCUUGGUUAUCCUGACCAAAUCCCAGUGACUGCUUGGCUGGUCGCAUCUGAACCUUCACUGGUUGUAUAAUACCUUGACCAGAUACACCUAGUCCCAUUCCCUCACGAAACCCCAUGCUAGCCAUCAUCUUGGAAGCCACUCCGCGAGUGUGCUUCUCCCAAUUUGCAAAAGUAACUGUCUCUGUUUGCACACCUGCACAGAAUGAUCCAAGAGUAGGACGUUCUUCUUCGUCCACAAAAUCAUCGCUUUCAUCCCCAUCUUCAUCUGAGGUGUCUGAUGCAUCACUAAGUAAUGCGUAUUCGGACUGUGCAAGGUCAUCUUUAUCGACGUCCAUUCGCUUUCCAUCAGCACUAAAUACAAUCGUGGCACGCUGCUGUCCUUCGUCCCACAACUCUAGCUCUGCAGCUCGCCAUAGCCCGUUUCCAGCUUCCGCCAGGACUGCAGAUCCCAAUGGUAUUUGCUUCCAUUCAGGAGCCUCGUAAUUGCGCAGAGCAUUCAAAUGGGCUUCUAAACCUGCGAACAGGAUGAACAAACAUCAUCAGAGAUCAUGAACAACGAGGCUCAAGUAACAAACGGCAUUCCUGGGCAGAAUACGCAAACCAUCUCAUUCACCAUCUAGUGUGUAGCUUCGCUGAGUUAAGCAUAGAUUGAAGAGCACUGUAACCCAAACAUGUUGAGGAAUAAAACAUAUUAAUCACAAAUGUAAAGCGCAGUACAUAGAGGAGAUCGAAAUUAGGAAGAAGGAAACUCGAGAAUACAGGUCGCGUUCAAUUAAACAAGGUCAAAUCCUGUUCACUUUAUCAGGCGUGCCAUGCGAAUGAAAAGCAUACGUUGCAGAGAAUGACUGCAUACCAUGAGAUAGACGGCACUUAUUACCAAAUCGACAUUGUUGCUGCAGGAAAAACCUGCACAUCUAUAUUUCCAUCGCACUGCUUUAAAAACUUGUCCUUACACAAAAGCCAACUGUCAUCCACAAGUGCAAGAUGACUUUUUUCUCUUGUGGCAACUGGCUCGAUAUUGAAGAAUAAAAACCGACAAGUAGGGGGACGUUGAAAAUCCGUGACUACGAAAUUGAGUACACUAACAUUCUAUGUUUAUCGUCCUCCACAGGGUUCCACUCUUCGACAGAGUUCUGACCAGAUAAAAGCUGCGACAGUUUUGAUGUCAAAAAGUCUUACCUGCAAUUUUUCGGAAGUUGGAUGUAGAAAAGCCACACGAGCGACAGAGUCAUCCUCCAUGCCAAGAAUACAACCAUUGUACCAUCUCCCAUCGCUAUGACGAAAACGGCAUUUAGAACCGACUGAGAACGGCUGGGGAGGGACCACAUCCCCCAUAUCUGACCUAGAAACCGACUGAGGCAGCUCAUCAGCCACCUCGAUUUGUCCCCCUUCAGAUGGAGAUUCCUGCCGCUGAGUCAUGGCAUCUACCUCUCGAAGUAGCCGAGCACGCUUGAGGUGUAACAGGCUUUCUUCUGCUCCCUUCACAGCUUGCUGUAACUCUUCCCGAAUCUACACAUCGGCACUUAACAGUUAAGUUAAUACUUAGUGAGCGUAUCACGGAUAGGAAUAAACCACAUGGUGCUCAUCGACCAGACCCUCUUUAAUAUGUGAGUCUAAAUCACAUCAAGAGCAUCAAGUUGUAGUAGGGUCGUAAAUCGGAAACCAAAGGGGAAAAUGCUAGAAGGAGAAAUCAAACACCGGGAAGUCAGAGAUGCUUGAUUUCUGAAGGGCAGGUUGAUGGUUUUCAAAGAUAAGAAGAAUACGGCAUGGGUUGUGAUCAACUUCCAACUCUUAAUCAUCAAAAGACUGUGGAAGGUAUUCAAAUAGUCUAAUACAUAGCAAUACAUACUUGUAGUAAUCAUUCGAAGACAAUUGAAACAGCAAAUUCGUGUCAUUGUAGAUAAAUUUCACAAGAAAUUCUCCACUAGCGCAAGUUCAUUCCUCACCAUCUUUCAGCUUCUAUACAAUUCAGAUCGAAAUGCCUCGCAAUUAGGGUCUCAAUGUAAGUCGUGUGUCCUUACAAUUUGUCAGCAAUUUCAAUGACUACUGCCAAAUCAUCCUCAGUGGCUUCAUUUCGCUGCACUACUGACCCACGGGCUUCUACUAAUCGAUCAACGACCAAACAGUCUAGAACAGUAUAAUCUGUGCCGAUUCCACUCAGAGCCUUAAUUUCACCUCAGAAUCAAGCUUUCGGGAGAAAAGGCAGGCAUGACGUAGGCCAUGCUCGUUUCCGUAAUCUAAAGUUCGGUAAACUUGCAGAACAUUGAAGAAAAGAGGAAAUACGAGGCUUCAGUAGACCAAGGACCUCAUAAAUCAAUCACCAUUUUGAUGCUCAUCGCCAAUCCCAGAUGCCAAAUAUUUUGCCAAGCAAAGAAAACCCACACUGUCUGAAAAUAUCUUCACUAAAAAUGAAAGUAGAAUAAUAAUACUGACCAUGAUUAGCUCGGAAUUGUUAAAAUCCACUGCAAGAGCUUCGUCAACGGCCUGCAGGGACGCCCGAUUCUCCUCCAAGUGGGUUUCUAGCUCUCCUUCCAGCGCGGUCUCAUCAUUCGCUUCGCCCAUUGCGACCAAACCCUAAUUACUCGAAAAAUCGCGCGUCGAGGCAAUCCGCAAGCACUAACAUGAAGCUGGCGGUCCAUGCAUCAUCCACGAUCUUCAAUUUUGCUCGUCAUCGGCCAAGACGCCGCAAAAACGAAAGUAGGGAGGCAAACCCAAACUCCCGGAUGAGCUCAAUGAUAUACUGCGUUCACACUUGCUAUGGGUGGUGAUGUUUGUACCCGCCCUUACCCUCCUAUUCCCGCCGUGAUAUGGAGGAGAGCAAAACAUGUUCCGGUCAUGUAGUUCUUCGCAAGGGUAAUGGUUGAUCAAGCGCAUUCAUGGCAUGUUUCUCAGCACCCAGAACAUCAUCGGUGAAGCUUCAAGUUAACCUGCAUGCCAUUGGCGAAGACCAUGGCCUUCAACUGGUGCGCUUGCCCUCAUUGUUUUCGAAGCGUAGCGUAAAUGAGUAACUUCUGUACUCAUGGGGUUAGGAGUCUGCGUAUUAUCUUCGAAGUUUGGCGCUGCAUUGUGAAGGAAUGAAAUACACUUUGUUGAGUCUAUUCUGAUCUUGAGGCGAAUGGGGACGAAUGCUCCUCGUAGCUUGUAAGUGUGAGGGUUGUAGCUAUUGAACGCAGACACAGUUUCCAUCGCUGUAGCGUAGUGCCACACGCAACCCUGGAAUUCAAGGGUUAUCGUUUCUGGCUUAGCUUACAAGAUAAUUUUUCUAGCCAGUAAAUGUCCAUUGUGCCGUCAGUAGACAACAGGGAAGAAAAGUGAGAAUUCUCUGUAGGAUUCAAGCACGAUCGCCUCAAAACCACCACUAUAUAAGACUGUUUUGAAUGAUUCUUGCCCAGCUUCUAUCACCGAUUCCUUGCUGCCUCUGAAUGCAAGAAUUUAGAACUAUAAUACCAACGUUCAAGGAGAUGGUAGGUGCAAUCGCAAGCUACUGAUACAGUUUUCGUCAUGAGGAUUAGGUCGAAAUUGCGUGAAGGCUAUUCUCGUGAUUGGAACCAUUUCGGUGGAUCUUCACAUGUGUAUUUUGGCUGUGUUCGUUGGAAGCUCCAGCUGUCUUCGGAAACCCAACCCUAACCCUAGCCCUAAUUUGGCCCUAAUCCAGGUUUAAAUGCGUCUGAAGAAUUCUAGUGAUUGUUUUGUAAGAAGUUGGGUGAUAAUGUAUUGUUUGGAGAUGAAGACACUUUUCGAAUCGGUUUGAACUUCAUAGAAAAGAAAGAGAGGAGUGGGUCAUGGAUAAAUCGCCUCCUGUUUCAAUAUGUGUAAAUUGGCUUUGUAUGUGUAUAUUUGUUUUGUAUUUUCAUGUAUUUUGUUAUUGCGAUUUAUUUGUAUUGAAGUUGGAAAUUGUUGAAAAGCAAUCUUGAUGUUUUUGUUUAUUUCAUAAACAUGGAAUUGCAAAUUUUCUGUGUGGAAAUCAUAAUUCAUUCUUUGUUUUUAAUUGAUUUAUGUCGAAUAAGUGAUUUAGUUAUACUAUUUUUAGUGUUUUAUCAAAUUCUUGUGAAAAAGGUGUAAUUAUACAUAAACAUAUCAUGAAAUCACAAAAAUCAACAGUAUAUAUGUGUAUACCAGCAUUGAGGGUGCUUGGUAUGCUUUGGGAGUAGUAUGUUGAAGCAUGGUAUUGUUGUAAAAUAAUAUACAAUAUAAUUAUAAAUCACAAUGUAAAAAAUGUAACUACACAUAUUUUUAUAUGUUUUAUGUAGUUUGUUAUAAAUCAUUGUUUAGAUUUCGUCAAUGCAAUCUCUCUCUCUCUCUCUCUCUCUCAAUAUACAUAUAUAUAUAUAUAUAUAUAUAGACAUGUGCACAUUUAUUACACAUAAGUAAUUUGCAAUGUUUUUUGAAAUAGCAGUUUCAUAAAUACACCAAUGACUUUCUUGUAAACCAAUCUUGAAUUUCAAAUAUUUUUAAUUUAUGAUUAAUGUUGAUAAAAAUAUUCUGAUGUGAUUCAAUUCACUUUCAUUUGAAUGUUAUUAUUAGUGCUUUGAAAUUGCAGACCUCUAAAACUAUGGUAAUAUCUUUUCAGUAAAUUUAUUGUAUAACUAUAAAUAUAUAGAUAUACAUAUAUUUUAAGCUCUUUUCUUCUUGUUAUUUAUCCCUUUUAAGAAUCAAAUAAUCAUGCUUAGGGAUAUGUCUCAACUUUGACUCAAUGACCAAAUUUUCUUUACCAGACAACACACAAGAAACUGUAACAUAUUUGAUGACAAAACAACCAACAACUGAAAUACCAAUUAUUACAAAUAACUUUAAUCAAAUUCUCAAAUACAUACUUUAAAACCCCAUAUUGUCUUGAUUUCCCUUGGAGCAACCUAUGCAAUCCAUGGGCAAACUUAGGGGCUUGAUGAAGCAUGUUAAGAACCCAACAAUCCUUACCCUCAUAGACUCAAGUUAAAUGAAUGCUUGAUGUUUGCCCAAUAGGGUAAUUCUUAGUAAGUGCUAGAAGCUACAAAGACCAAGCACACAUGCAACAAUCAAACACAAAAACAUAAAAAAGAGAAAAAAGUUUUUUAAAAAAAACAUAGAAGACGAGAUUGGAAACCAUGAUCCAAACCCCCUUUUUAAAAAAUAAUAACAAUUAAGAUCACCACACAUAUAGGCACAUUGUGAAGCACAAUAACAAACUUUUAUAAGCUCCAUGUAAUUAGCACUAAUUUUUUAGGAUCAAGGCUUAGGACAUAUCAAUAAAUGGUGGGUUACCCCUGACUUCGAAUCCCACCCCACCCAACCAACCAAUCCUCAACACAUUCA